rnacentral:lncRNA from 1 species
AAAUGGUGGUGGGUCAAUUUCAGCAAUAAAAAUAAUAAAAGAAAAACAGAAGGAGAGGAGUGAUUGUGAUCAGUAGAACAGUAGAAGGGAGAAGCCUUUUGUUGGGUCUUUUGGGGACGCCGUGAAAUCAGCUAACAAUUUUCAUUUCUCCAUUAAAUAUUAUAUAUAUGAACAAAAAUGAAUCCUUUCAACACUUUUUUUUGGUAUAUCUAUGACUAUAUGUUUCUAACAUGGUGGCACAGCACUAUAAUUAAAAAGAUAGACACAAUUUUUUUUUCUGCAAAAGAUUAUCCCAUUGAUUAUUGAGUGGAAAAUUCUAAGAAAACCCAUAAUUUCAUUUCAUUUUUUUAUUUUUAAAAAGCCAUCCACUUGCUAGAAAGAAAAUGCUCUCUCUUUCAAAUAAUAGAGGGAUUGCAUACAUGUAGGCUACAAAAUGUUUGCUACAUUUUUGGGUUAUUUUAAAAUUUUAAUAAAUUAUUGAUAUGAACAAAAGGUUUUGACGUUGGGAAGGUUCUUUUGGGUCGGAGAGUGAGAAAUUAGACUGGUCAAAAUAUGUAUAUUCAAGAGAGGAUCCAAGAGUAGGAGAGUUAAGAAUCGUGUUAAGAGAGAAGAUGUCUUAUCUUGAUUUUUUGAGGUGUCAUAUGUUGUUCAUGUAUUAGUCUUGAACUUCCUAUAAAUUAAUUCGUAUGUGAGUAUCUUGUUAUCGUUUGUCGUCCCAAGCAUGUUUUUAAUAUAGAUUGUCAUGCAUGGGAAUAAAUAUUUACCAUUCAUGUCAUAUAAUUGAUCUUGAUGACCCAGGCUCAUGAAAUCUUGAGCUUAUAGGUGUAUUAACUCUGAUGGUGGUCUUGCAAGGUAUUAAUAUAACAUAAAUAAAUUAUAAUCCAAUUAAGAUAGGUGAAAUGAUAGUAAAAUAGUAAUUAAGAUAGGUGAAAUUAUAGUAAAAUAGUAAAUAAAAAUAGAAAAAAAGUAAAAAAAUGCAAUUUUUUUACGUAUUCGGGUCGGGCCGAAAAAGCCUUACCCGAGGUAAGUCUAUUUUCACAGGUCUUUUUUUUUUUUUGCCUAAGCCCAUUUUUCGGGCCUAUAUUUUUAUCCAAACCUUCACACUUUUCGAGUAGGCCUUCGGCCCGGGCCAGGCGGCCCAACCCAUGAGCAGAUCUACUUCUAUAGUGGAAAAGCACAUUUAACCUAAAAGUAUUUUUCCACUGUAAUGAAGAACACACCCUAAAUCUAAAAUUACACUUAACACCUACAAAUAAAGAUUGAGUCAGUUUCAUGAGUUAACCGAACAUCAACUUAGUUAGAAAAUAAUUAACUCAUGACAUUAAUUCAAUCAUAAAAAAAAAAACUAAGAAGUCAUUAUUUUUAAGGUUAAUGUAGCAUUUGGUACUUGAGUUUGGUUCUAAUGUUUAACUUGAUACAUGAGUUUGACUUCAAGAUUCAAUAUAAACUAAAUGGCAUCAUGUGGUCCAAUGAAUGUAUGACAUGUGUACAUUACUAAAAACUAUAGGUACUUAAUUGGGAUAAAGAAAAAAAACCAUAUUAAUAAUUAUGUAAAUUAUGUAGUUGUGAGUUCGAAUUUCUUAUAAAUUAUAUAACCGUGUAAUUACAAUUAUUAUUAUGUGGCAUAUGGAAUUCCAAUGUAAUUACAUUCUUUCAACUAAUUGCGUCUAAAGAAUUACAAUUCUUUAUAAUUACAAAAGAGUGUAAUUAGUAUCAUGAUAAUUACAUUUUCAUCCAAUUACUUUGUGUUGUCCAAACAAAUUCUAAGAGAUGUUUGGUUUACAAAAUGUAAGAUUAUCAUUGAUAACAUGAUUACUCGAAAUGUAUAUUGCUUAACACAUUACCGAUUACAUUGUCUUGUUUGAUUCAUUUAGUUGAAAUGUGAUGUUUUUAUGUUUGGUUGAUCGAAUAUAAAAUUACUUUAAAACAUAUUUUACUAACUUAUCCUUAUGAAAUUUACCUAUUUUUAGUGUUUAAUAUACAAAGGUUGAAACUUGUAGUGUUUUACUUUACUGAUAACUUAAUAUAUAUUUCUCUAGUAAAUUAAUUUCAUAUAUAUUAUAAAUAAAUAAAUUGGGAUAGGGAAGAGUGUUAGUGUGAGUUUGGAUGAGUGGUGCGUUUAGCUUACUUUUUAUCUCACACUACAGUAUUUAAUCUCAUCGUCACCGUUAUUUUUACACUAAUUAAUCGCAGGUAAAUGUAUCGUCUAUCCAGACUCACCCUUCAUCAGCUAAAACUUCUCUUUCCAAGUGAUAAAAAAGAUAAAAGAAUCUACUUUUUUUUUAUUAUCUAUAGUUAAAUUAUCACUUUGAUACCUAUAUUAUUUUUUUUAUCAAUUUGACCAUUAUAUCUGUAAUUCUUUACCCCAAUUUAAUUUUUUUAAAAUAAUUAAACCAAUCAAUGAGACGUAUCAAAAAAAUUACUUAAAAUUAAGAAAAUAAAAAAUAAUAAAACAUAAAAGAUUAUAAAAACUAAAAAAAUUAUAAUCAAUUUUCAAAAUCUAAUAUCUAAAAAUAUUAAAAUCCUUAAACCAAAGCAGAGCAAAGCAACCGGAAAAACACAAAAGGAUUGCAGAAAAGCACAGAAUGUACGGAAAAUGCAGCCCUUAAAAGCGCAAGUAAUUUCACUUCCAUGUCGCAUGGGGUAGAAGAAAAAGGCAACAAUUCCAUAAAUGGACCACUUCUUUUAUUCCUUUUUCAUAAGGUAAAUUCACAUAAAUGCUCCCACAAUUAUAAUCUUUUUUGUACCAUACCAUUACCCUAUUCAUAAAGCUUUUAAUUUGAGUUAUUUUUUAAAUAUUUUUUAAAAAAAAAGUAAAGGGCAAGAGCUAUACAUAGAAAAAAGACCCACGUAUUAGUUCAAUACAUUCUCAAAACUACCUUUAAUUCUUUCAUGCAAUUGGAUUCUAUUUUUCCAAAUCUUUCUGCAUGCCCAAAAUAUACUCAUUAAAUUUCUAUAUAUAUAUGUUAAAUUUAUUGAUAAAUUUCUCCAACUGAUUCAAUCGAAAAUUGAAGAUCUAUUUGAUUUAAAAUAAAUUAAUUAGCCAUAAAUCAAUUCAAUAUAACUGCUCAAUGUUUGAUGUUCAACUAAGAAAUUGUGGAUGGUCUGAUUCUCUUUCACAAGUGAGGAUCUACACUGAUAAGAACAAUGGAGAUUAAGGAAUGUUUCUAGGGAAGAAAACAAAGCUCUAGACUUUUUACCCAAAAUAUCUUCUGAUAGGAAGGAAGGUGCUCACCAAGUCUCUGGGGAGCUCGUAGCUAUUUUAAAGUUUGUUACAACAAGUGAUGCUUUGGUUUCAUAGUAGUUUGAUGUAAUUGUUUCUUUAUCUUUCACCAAAAAAUAUGUAUAUAUAAUUUUUAAUUUUUAUUCAUUGAGUAAAAGGGUUGAUUAGUGAUCGAAUCGAUUCUCUCGGUAAUAUAAAAUUGAAAAAAAUCAAAUUAAUUCGAGUUAGGUAAAAAUCAAUUAAAAAUUUAUUUGGAUAGGAUUUAAUGUACUCUAAGUAAAGUUUUAUGUCCGAGAGUUUUGUUCUAUUUAAUGAUUCGAUUAAGCUCAACUUCAAAUUUAAUCGAAGUCUAAUAUGAUUAUGGAAUAUUAAAGAAUUUUUAAAAAAUUUAGCAUUUUAUUCUAUAUAUUUAUGUAUCAAUCACUUUAAAUUUAAAAAGAAAAUACGGAGGAGAUCCUCUUACUUAGGGUAAGGAAGUUUUUUGUCGAUAAGAACAACAAAUAAUGUACUACAUGAUCAUCUUCGACACACAUCUCUUGCAUGUUUAGUAUUCAAAAAACACUUCAAGUCACACUGUACUCACUCAGAGACAUCACAACAAGAUAAUAAACUCUUUAAUCACAUUCAAAUAUACGUGCAAAAGGUCCACCAUGACUCAACUACCUGUCCUCCACAAAACACUUGUUCAAAAGACUUACAUCAGUCUAUAUAAACUCUUUCCACUUACUGAAUCAUUUCAAGACAUUACUUUAUUACGACACUCAACCAAAAUUAACUAAAGAACCUUUCAUUUCUCUACUAGUUCAUGUAAAUAUAUUUAGACGACUCUCAACACUUUUAUACGAAUGGUCUUUAAUCUUAUACCAAUAGUAUUACAUAAACUUAUAUAUUUACAUAUAUUUUUUUGAACAAUCUCAUUAUAGGUUUUAAUAAUAUCUGUUCAUUUUGAUACAAUGCUUAGAACUAUCCAUAGUCUCUCCCCAACCCAUAAAUAGGAGGAUAAUGCGCUUCAGCACACUCAAACUCACGUCCUCCUGCAUUGCCAACAAUACCCAUACCAAUCGAGCUAAGACUCGAUCGGCUAUAUUUACAUAUUUUUUAAGAAUUAGUAAUUUGUAUAUUUAUUUAUUGAUGGGAUAAAAUUAAUCCCUAGUCCAUGGUGAAAAAAAAUGGAAAAAGGAUACAAGUAAUUAAUGAAUAAAAAUGUAAAAAAUAGUGAGACAGUUCAUCAUAUUGUUUUGAAUUGAUUAAUAUAGAGUCUAGCUAGGUUGAUUUAAAAUGCUCUUCCUUAACAUCCGGCUCAUUUGAAUAGCAAUCAUGGAAAAUAGGAACAUGCUAAUUAGUGUCUAUGAAUUAUGGGGUUUUUUUUUAUUAUUAUAUCUAAAAUUGAAUUAGUUGGUUUAAAAUUUUGAUUUAUUAUUACAAAUUAAAAUAUUUCUGCACUAAUGUUUAUAAUUAAAUGUUUAACUUUAAUUAAGUUUUAUUUAAUUAAAAUUGAAUUUUUUGAAAUAAUAUUAAAAAUUAAAACGUUCUUUGGACGAGUGUCGAAAGAAACGGAUUGUGCAUGUGCAGACGACCGCAAAUGAAGAAAAUUUCAAUAUUUACAUUUUGGUAGAAUUUGAACCUGUGCUCUAUAACAUAUAGGGCAUUUAUGAGCAACUACACUUUCAUUGUCCACCUCUUUAAUUUUGAAAAUGCCACUUUAAAAUUUUCUCUCGAAAGAGUUGAAAAUCCCUUAGCAGUAUUAAAUUAUUUUUUUAUAUAUAUUUUAUGUGUAUUUUAUAAUACAUGUUUGUGGUUUGAGAUUGUCUCUCUUAAUAAUAUCAUUUUCAAAGUUCGUAUCCCGUUCUUCCAUUAAUACUAAUUAAACGAGGAUUCUAUUAAUUGUGCCCAUAGACACUAGUUAAGAAUUACUUUUAUUAUAUUUAUAAGAAUUAAAAUAUAAAAUAAUUAAGUAUAUGCUCUGUUUUAUAAAUAUCACAUUUAACUAAUACCAGUAAGCAUUAAUAAAUAUUUUCAUUAAAAUGAUAUUGAUAAGCAUUAUUAAAUAUCAACAUGUGGUCGGGUACGAUGGUAAGACACAUUAUAUUUUUAAUGAAAGUAUGAAUGUUCAAACCUUAGAAAGAACAUUGUUAGGAGAAAUAAUCACGGAUCUUAAAUAUGAACCAUAAAAUAGACAUAGAAAAUAAAAAAUAAUAAUAAGUAUUAUUAAAUUAGAUUAUAAUAAUGCAUUGAUUAUUCCAAUAUUCUUGGAUCAAUCUACAAAAUUACAUAGAAAAUUAGAUUGUGUUCAUUAGAUUACAUGCCUAUGUCUGCCAAUUAAUUAUAAUUAAAUUUAGGAUAAACUACAUAGAUAAUCUUUCAACUAUAAAAAAAAUUUCAUUUUAGGCACUUAAGAUGAAAAAAGUUGUAAUUUAAGCACUCACGUUGUAUAGUUUAGUCAUUUUGGUCACUUUGAUUAAAUGCAGUUAAAAAAAUUAGUAUAAUAAUAAAUUUAGCUCUUAACUUUUACAUAUUAUAUCAAUUUAGUUAUAAUCUUAAAAAUUAACUCUUAAAAUUUAUAAAUAUUCUCAAUUUAAUCCUAAUUUUAAAAAAUAUUAUAUAUAUAAAUACAUAAGAAUUAAAUUAAAUAAAAAUCUCCAGCGUCUCCCCUUCCCCCACCGGACCUGUGCCCCCUCCCCCACCAUUGUUCCUCUCCCUCUCUAUUGCUACAAAUUAAGGACUAGCAUUUGCAAAUAAAUCCAGAAGGGCAGGUUACAAGAGAGAUCCAAAUAUAAGCAAAUCAAAUUGCAGCUAUAGAAGGAGAAAAACCAAUACAAGUCAUGCAUCUAUGUUAGUAUAGCAGUCAUAAAGACUGUAUUUUUCAUAAAUUCUAAGUGGUUACUAACGUGCAUGACAGCGUAGAUAUCGUACCUAAUGACAAAGACAUCACGAAACUCUUCUUCCAUGCUUCCAACCAUAUAUUUGUGGAAAGGAAGUUUAGUUAGAGCCUUAGAGGUACGCUGAAGAGAUGAUAUACAUUUAGUUCCACCUCUUGCUGCAAAUUAAGGAUUGGCAGUAGAGAGGAGGAGGGAAGGGGGUGAAGGGAUUUUUAUUCUAUUAAAUAUUAUUAUAAAAUUUAAAUCUCUUAUUAUGUAUUUUUAUAUAUAAUUUUUUAGAAUUAGGAUAAAUUGAGAAUAUUUAUAAAUUUUGAAGGUUAAUUUUUUAAAAUUCUGACUAAAUUAAUAUAAUAUAUAACAGUUGAGGGCUAAAUUUAUUAUUAUACUAAUUUUUUUAACUGUCAAAAUGAACAAACUACGGAACAUGGAUACUUAAAUUGCGAACAUUUUACUUUGGGUGACUGAAAAGAGAACUUUUCAUACUCGGGUACCUUAAAUUAAAAAAAAACAUAAAUUUAAGUGUAUAGUGUAUAUUUUAGCAAUGGCCAUUUGGUAAUUCAAACCUUUCGUCAAACACCUGUUGGGUCGUGUUACGUAAACAUAGCAGCUCUAUAUUCUAUCUCUGUCAAACCGAGGAAUGUUUUUUUUUUUUUUUUAAGAUUAUGCAUUUAAAAUUUAUAAAAAAGAUGAAAAAAAAAACAGUAACAUAACAAUGGUAGAGAGAGGAAAAGAAAUUGAAUCUCCAUUCUCCACUGUUUUUUUUUUCUUUUUCUUCUUUUAUAAAAAAAGUAUCAAAAUUUUUGCAAGGCAAAACCAUCCAAAAUUGAUCCAAGAACAGUGAGAUACUAUACUACAAGUCCCCAUUACUUCACAGCCUGUAAGCAAAAAAAAAACACCUUGAAAAUCCGUGAGAAAGCCGACAAUUUCAAGAUAAUUCCAAGCAUCCCAUGUGCGAUUCUUCCUUUUCUUCCUCUCAUCAACUCUCUCUUUGUUAUUGUGUCACCACUUAGUAGUUCUUCUUUGUUUUCUUUUUUCUGUAAUUUUUUCCUCUCAUUUUCUCUUCCUUUUUUUAGUGUAAGAGUCACUUUAACCAGAGCCAAAACCCAGUUCGAAUAUGUGGGAAUCAGAGACUGAAUCUGUCAGAGGUAGAGAGUAUGGCAAUGGUGUUCUUAGCUCCAACAAACAUGGUGUCAAAACUGAUGGGUUUGAACUUAGAGGCCAGUCCUGGUAUAUUUAUGUUCAUGGACCUCAUUUAACUUUCUGGGUUUUUCUUUUUGUUUCUAGGUUUACAUUUAUUUUGUUUGCAGGUAUGUUGCUACAGAUAUUCCAAGUGACCUUUUAGUUCAAGUUGGAGAUGUCAAUUUUCACUUGCACAAGGUAGCUGUUUAUCUAAAACUUCAAAAAAAAAAAUUUAAAGCUCUAAAACCAUAAAUUUCUUCUCACUUAUUUUUAUUUUCCCGGGAAAGUAUCCUAUGCUUUCUCGAAGUGGAAAAGUGAAUAGGCUUAUAUAUGAAUCAAACAACCACCCAGAUUUAAACAAAAUUGCUUUGGAAGAUCUCCCUGGUGGACCCGAAGCAUUUGAGUUAGCAGCUAAAUUCUGCUAUGGGAUUGCAGUGGAUUUAACAGCAGGGAACAUAUCUGGUUUACGAUGUGCUGCAGAGUACCUUGAAAUGACAGAGGAUUUGGACGAAGGUAACCUUAUAUUCAAAACCGAAGCGUUUUUAAGCUAUGUGGUGUUAUCUUCAUGGAGGGAUUCGAUACUGGUGUUGAAAAGCUGUGAGAAACUGUCGCCAUGGGCGGAGAACCUUCAAAUUGUGCGGCGCUGCAGUGAGUCUAUAGCUUGGAAGGCUUGUGCUAAUCCGAAAGGGAUUAAGUGGGCGUAUACUGGGAAACCGAGUAAGGUUUCGAGUCCGAAAUGGAAUGAUUUGAAGGAUUCUAGCCCCAGUAGGAGUCAACCUGUGCCUCCAGAUUGGUGGUUCGAGGACGUUUCGAUCCUUAGGACCGAUCAUUUUGUGAGGGUUAUUACGGCGAUCAAGGUGAAGGGUAUGCGGUUCGAGUUGAUCGGGGCGUCGAUCAUGCAUUACGCAGCGAAAUGGCUUCCAGGGUUGAUAAAAGAUGGUCAGGGUCAGGGGCCAGCGGAUGAUAUGAGUAUUAGUACCAAUAGUAAUAGUAGUGGCGGUACUGGUAGUAGUAGUUGGAAAGGCGGACUACAUAUGAUUGUAGCCGGGACGAAGGACGAUACUCCAUCGAUUCAGGCUAAAGAUCAACGGAUGAUCAUCGAGAGCCUGAUUAGCAUAAUCCCGCCGCAGAAAGACAGCGUUUCCUGCAGUUUCUUACUUCGGCUUUUGCGGAUGGCUAACAUGUUGAAAGUGGCACCAGCUUUGGUAACCGAAUUGGAGAAACGAGUCGGGAUGCAGUUUGAACAAACUACUCUGGCGGAUCUUCUCAUUCCUUCUUACAAUAAAAGUGAAACCAUGUACGAUGUGGACCUUGUUCAGAGACUAUUGGAACAUUUCCUUGUUCAAGAACAGACGGAAAGUUCGAGCCCGAGUAGACCGCCUUUUUCGGACAAACACAUGUAUGAAGGAACACAAAGGAGCAAUAAUCCGAAUGCCAAGAUGAGAGUUGCCAGGCUUGUUGAUAGUUAUCUUACGGAAGUUUCGAGAGAUCGAAACCUGUCAUUGACAAAGUUUCAGGUACUGGCUGAAGCUUUGCCGGAAUCUGCAAGGACCUGCGAUGACGGACUUUAUCGAGCUAUCGAUUCCUAUCUUAAGGUAACCUCUUUAUCCACAUAUUGCAAAUGGUGGUAUCAUUGAGAUCAAAUGGGGUAACAAAAUUCAAUUGCAGGCACAUCCGACACUCUCCGAACAUGAAAGGAAGCGACUCUGCCGUGUCAUGGACUGCCAAAAGCUCUCGAUCGAUGCCUGCAUGCAUGCUGCACAAAAUGAACGGCUCCCCCUGCGAAUCGUGGUACAAGUUCUCUUCUCGGAGCAAGUGAAAAUAAGCAAUGCAUUGGCCAACAGCACACUCAAAGACCCUGCAGAAACUCAAUACCAACCAUUGAUACCGAACCACAAGACAUUACUCGAAGCAACGCCGUUAUCGUUCCAAGAAGGAUGGGCAGCUGCUAAGAAGGACAUCAACACACUCAAGUUCGAGCUCGAGAGCGUCAAGGCCAAGUACCUCGAGCUCCAAAACGACAUGGAGAACUUACAACGACAAUUCGAAAAGAUGUCGAAGCAAAAACAAACAUCGGCAUGGACAAGCGGAUGGAAGAAACUGAGCAAACUCACCAAGAUGACAGCCGUGGAAAACCACGACAUCGUACCUCAAAUUUCGACGGCGGCAGAACAGACUCGAAAGACGCCGAGAAGAUGGAGAAAUUCGAUUUCGUAAAAGAGGUGCCUUAAAACUCUACAUUUCCCAUCAUGUGUUAGCCUUCCCUCUUAUUUUGUCUUGAAAUUUUUGAGGAAAUUGCAGUGUUGAUGUUUUACAGUGAUUACCAUGAUAAAAAAGAAAAAGAAAAAGCCACCACCAUGAAAAUAACUUCAAAUUGUCAUUCAAAAUUUGUUUGUGUUUCUAUGUGAUUUUGUUUGAUGUGUUCAUUCUUCUGUAAUUCCCAAUUUAGUCCCAAUGCCUGCCAAAUCAAAUAUGCUAAUGGAACAGGGCUCUUGAUGUUUAUUGCAUAAUAUAUUGUUGCUUUUAAGAUAAAUAUUAAAUAUCAAAUGUGAAAUAUUUUAUUGAAUUAGUAAAUAAACCGUGUCAUAGAUAUUAAAUAGAAUGUACUAAACUUCUUUAACAAAGUCCGACAAAGCCCAACAAAGCCACAAACCCAGAUGCAUAAGUAAGAAAGCAAUAGAAUAUCUUGAAACACUAGUAAACCUAAACUUCGUAACGGAGAAAAGGGGUCCAUUGCUUGAAUCAACCCUUUCGCCUAAAUAGAAACAAAAAGAGCACCAACACACCUUUUGCCAUCAAUUAUGAUACGGUGAGAGUCUCUAUACAGUUCAUUGCUCAAUAGACGGAAAGUCACUAGGGCUUAGAGAACGCGAACCAUCAUUGGACUCGAGCACUAAAGCACGACUCGACCCUUAGGCCACCUGGAAUUUCUUAUUUCGAUGGCUUGUCCUCAUCCUAUUGGAAAAACUGUCUGGAGUUUGACAUUGAGACAGAGUCAGGGACAGUGUAGGGGUUGGUGGCUGGCUAUUCAACGCCCAAAAAGUCGACCACCGUGACUACAACUAAAACCUUAAACAGUCACUCGGGAUCUCCUGGGCAAAGAGACAUUUGUGUGCUUAAAACGAGAGAUAUCAAACAACUACUGAUAGAAGAUAGCGCGCAAAAAAACUCCAUUCAAAACAAAUCGAUUCUAGAUUUUGCAUCCCUAAUCUAACAUAAAAAAUCAUACAAACAAUCAUAAUGAACUACCAAUAAUUUAAUUAUAUGGUGCAGGGAUAAGGUUAUGGUACAAAUUAAUAUCAUUCAUGUGAGUAGUUAAAACCCAACAAAAACAAAUAAGUCCCACCAACAAAAUGAAAUUGAAAAGAACUUGCUUGAAUUUAUAUGAAAUUCUCUCUCUUCUUUCAAAAUUCAAAAACAAAAUUCAUUUCAAUUCUUAUUAACUUUUCUAAUUUCUUUUCAAAGUUUUAAUUAAAUCCUCCAUUUUUUUUAAAAAAAAUUCAUUAAAUCUCUAAUUUCUUUUUUUUUGGAAUUAUUAAUUAAACCCUACUUUUUAAUAAAAUUUCACGAACCCCCAAUUUAAAAAAAAAGUUAUUAAAUUCUUUAAUUUUUUUAAAUUUUUUUAAUUAAGCCCCAAAUUUUAAACGCCGUUUUCAUCACCGUUGAAUUACUAAUUAAUGAUAUAUUUUGUACAUGACAUUUUAGCUAAGGGAUAUGAAUUGUGUAGCUUAUAUAGUAGCACUUGAAGUGGUAAAAGUACUAUGGAGAUCUCUAUAUUAGGAGUCAGAUUGCAUUUUUCUUUUUUUACUCAAAAAAUAGAUAAAUUAGUCCUUGUACAUUAGGUUAAAAAGCAGAUUUGACUUUUCUGUUAAAAAUUUCAUCCAUUUGUACUGUUAAAAAAUAGUGUGGCUGACGGAAUAAGCAUAUAUUGACACGUGGCAUGUCACGUGUACCUCAUGCUGACGUACAAAGACCAAUUUUUAACAGUAGAAAUUGAUGGAAUUACUAUCAGAGACGCCAAUUUGCUCUUUUAUCUAAUGUAUAAGAACUAGUUUACCUAUUUUUAAAUAAAACGGACACUUAAACCAGCUUAACAAAUCAUUCCAUGUAUAGAAUCCUGAGAACUGAUAUUUUAUGCCAUGGGUUGAAUCAAAGGCGCCACAAAUUUCAAAACGUACCCUCAAAUCCCUCAAAUUAAACAAUAAUCUCAUCAAUAGUUUCACGCUAAUCACCAAAAACAGGAAAAGACAGCUCUCCAGCAAUGGAGUCACAAAAUAUAAAUCUUUCUUUCACAUACAUACAUCAUAUAUGCAGGCAUGAAAUAGAUAUGGCAACAAUAAGCAAGAGUGUGUGAUUUGAGAGAUAACAAAGAAGCUACAAUUUUGUCCACAUAUUCUGACAUUAAAGUAUCAUCCUUAUUUUGUAGUUUUGGAUGUUACUCAACAAGGUGUAAUUAUUAGGAUUAGGAUAACAAUUAUAUAUAUUUUUGUAAGUGUAAGAAAUUUUAAUGCUAUAACUUAGAAAAUAUUUUUGAAAAAACUUGAAACUAAUCAUUACUUUUUUUUUAGAAGAAACCUAAAUACAAACUAAUUACAAGGGGAAAUUUUGAGCAAGGCUAACACUAGCCUUAUUAAUAGAGGAGAUUGUUAAUACCUCUUUUGGGAUUUCUUCAAAAACUGUCAGGUUUUGAUCUGUAUUAAAAGCCAAUUUAGUUAUGCUGCAAUUUCAUUUAACUCAUUGGGAAUGUAUUCAAUGACUCAAUGCCCAACUUUCACUAAAAUUUGAUGAAUUCUUCUAAUAAGGGUAGAGUUUGAAUCAGUCAAUGAGAAUUCCUGAAUAGCCUCAAUCGUCUUCAGACUAUCUACUUGAAUCAAGACGCCCUCAAAAUGUUUACCUUGAAAUCUAGAAUGCCCCACAAUUCAACAUCAAAGACAGAACAUUCACCCAGGAAUCUAUUAUAUCCCAUAAUCCAAUCCCAUUACCAUACCUUAGUGCUCAUCCAGUAGCAGCUGUACUGGACACAGCUUGAACAGCACCAUCAGUGCAUAAAUUGAUCCAAUUCUCCAGCAUGUGAAAGAUUGGCCUCGGCGUCUGCUGUCUAGAUAAAUCCUUCUUAUGAAAAGAGGCAUACUGUUCUGCCCAUGUAUAAGAAUUAUUCACAAUGUCAACUGCUUUCCAAGGGACCCCUUGGAAGAUGAAAAGGUUCCGAUUUUUCAAUAUUCUCCAAGCUAACAAACCAAGUAGGCUUGGCCGAACAACAUCGCCUGCAAAGAAACGCUCACAUAACACAUUUGGCACAACUUGCAUCUAAGUUUCCUUAGUUGUCGAGCAAUCUUCGAUGGCACGUAAAAUAUAUUAAAAAAAACUCAUCAUACUAAUUAAAUUUAUGUUAUUCCUCUAAUUCUCAGCACUUUAAUAAGAAUUGGAAUAAACACUUAAUUUAAUGGAAUUUAUUAAUUAAAAUGAUUAUGCAUGUGUUAUUAAAAUAAGAUGUAUUAAUUCAAUUAAUAAAUGGUUUUUAGAUACACUCUUAAUUAAAAUAAACUUUUAACUGAUUUAAAUUAAAAAAAGAAAAAAAUAAUAAUAGAAUAUCAAGAUUAUAUAAAUUUUCUUCUAAACAACCACCACCUUACCUUUUUCUUUUUUCUUUUAAUUAACAACCCUACCAUCAACUGCAAUUAUGAUAAUAUAAUGUGACCAUAAACAUAUUUUAAUAAGCAUUUAAAACAUACCUCUGCAGUAGUAAUAAGGUAUAUUAUAUUUUUAAAAAGAGAAUAACAUUUAAAUUUUACAGAUAAAAUUGUUGAAAAGAAUAAUCACGAACCUCCAACAUGAAAAAACAAAUAUAUACAUAUAUAUGUCUUUGUGUUGAAUGAGAUGUGAUGAUCUUGAAAUGGGCACCAAUGCAUGCAUGGUUCAUAUGUAUGGCUUCUAAAGUGGACCGAAUAUAUGUAUAUCCUGGAGAGGUGGGAGACAAAAAAUAUCUAACCCUACAGUUUUAGGCAAUGAGAAAAAAGGCGAUGCAUGAACCCAUAAAAUGCCUCAAAAGUCCACUUUUCUUUUGUCUAUGGGAGUGAUUUUUGGGUUUUGAGAUUUUGGAUAUCCUCUUUUGUCUUUUCAUUCUUUUUCGUUUUCAUCCAACACAAUCAAUUGAGCCAGAAAUACUGUAUAUGUGCCUUCUUCUUUUUUCUAGAAAUGAAUUUAACCCUUUAUCAAUUUAAUCUUUUUUUUAAUUAAAUUUAAUUGUUAACUUCUUUAAAAGAUUGGUGAUCAAAUUUAACUCUUUUUAAAAAAUUAAAUGUCAAAUUUAACUUUAAAAAAACAAGUCAAAUAGACAAAGAUGUGAAUGGCAACGGUAACUGUGAUAUUACCUUUUCUUUUCUACUUUAAUAUACAUUUAAAAUUUAGUGUAAUAACAUGAGAAAAAAAAAUUAUUUAUUGCAACAUAAAAUAAAAGAAUAACUAAUACAAAUUUAAACUUCAAAUUAAAAAUAUGAAAAUAAUAACUCUCGUAGCCAUCAUUGAAAUAUAAAGUUGAUUAUUGGAAAAACUAAAGGAAAUCACAACCAAUAUUAUUACAUUAAAACUGAAAAUGAGAGUACAACAAACAAACAAGCCAUAGUUUGGAGCUUUAAACUCAACAGAGUCAUGCUCCAAUUAUGAAUACAAACAAAGACCCUGCAGAGCCAUAAAGAAGGAAACACACAUAUAACUUGUACAUGAACCAGAAAAAGAAAAAGACCAAACUUUUUUUACUACAGGAUUUGAUGGAAGGUGGAACCUUGAAAAGAAGAAAAGAAAAAAAGAAACUAAAUAACCUCUCUUCAGUUCACUGCAUGCAUGUACAUCUGCAUCCCCACCCUAGAAACUUUUGUCUUCAUGCUUGUAACAAAGACUAAAAUAUCAAACAUGAUGUGUUUUCAAAGGUAAUAAUAAAAGAGGAACAGGGUGGGAAAUGGGACCCAGUUUCACCUAACGCGCAUGCACUAAAUCCUUGGGGGCUCAGGAGGGACCUAGUUUUUACAGCACAUACCACUACUACCAGCCUCCCCAUGCGUUCAAAGCAUUGGUCACUUGACACAUCCCAUGGCAAAAAAACUAUCCAUGAUCAUCAUUUCAGGUCAACAAACAAAACCCUCUUUUCUUUUUUUAAGCAAAAAGAGCUAUUGCAUACCUUGCAUUGCUGCCUUUGUUGGCCCCCCAUUAUAUAAGGCUCCCUUGAGAAUGUAAAAGAUGACAAACAAACCGUCCCCACAGAGCUAAAGCCGGUGUAGUGAUUUCAAAUUCAUCAAUCAUUCUUGGUUAAGACUUUGGUUUUGUUUUUUUUUUUUUUUUUAAUUUCAUCCUUCUUUUCCCACCACUUAGCCAACAAGUUACUCGAAAGUAAGGAGUGUAACCUAGAAGUGGUUCACUCCUAAAGUCUCGGCUUCGAGCUUUAAAGACUUCAAGUAAUCUACAGAUUCAUCAAGGACCAGUAAUGGGUCCUUUCCUUUUGUACCAGGUAUUAUGCUCUCAAGGAUUUUUAGUGUCAAGUGAAUCUUAUCCUUCAUCGACUGUUCAGUAUGUAAAAUCUCCUCUCGGUAGCUUGAUUCUGCAUUGCUGUCAUACUCGUGAGAGCCUUCCAAUUUCACUGAACAAGCGCCAUCCACCAUUAUCAAUUGCUUAUGCCCACCAUUCAGUAGUUUUUGCCUUUUGUUUGGACCAUCAGAACUAGCAACUUGCUCAAUUACAUCAUAAUCAUGGUCUUGAUUCUGAUAGCUUCGCUUAAUUCCAAUUGGAGAGUGAGCGGUGCUCAUUACUUCAUCAUCAUCACAAUCAUCAUCACCGACACCAAAAUCCUCCUCCUCUUCAUCAGAGUAAAGCAAAGCAUUAAGUUCUUCAGUGUCUUCACGCAUCUCACUCCCUUCAACCCCCAAAUGGCUCUCAUCAUAUUCCUUCUGUAAAGCUGGUGGUGUCGGAAUAAGACUAUUUGUCUUAACUGCUUGCACCCCUUCAUGGAUAUCAAGAGAUGAAGCUAGCUCAGUAAUGGCAGUUGCCGCAUGCUGAUGCGGUGAUCGGAAAGAGCCACAAAUUAACCUUGUCUGACUCCCUGAAUGAUCAAAAAUUAUCAGCCCUUUCUGCAAGGAGCCAGACACAAAAUUAGCUGCAGCCCUGCCAGUGUGCCCAUUAGCAAUCUUGAAUUGCUGCUCAUUGAGAAAUGAACCUCGACAGGGCAAUGAAGUAGGGAAACUCGGGUAUAACUGCUGAAGCAACCCAUGAGGUUGAUACUUUUGUUCCGUUUUUAAGACAGAAAUAUCUGCAGACCCUGGCAUUGCAAUUUUUGCAGGAAGCACAUGAGUGCCGUAAUUCAUACCGGGAACCAAAGACCCCAAUUUUGACACACUCGCAGAAAGCAUGUGACUGCUAGGAUUUAUACAUGCAGGCAAGCAUUCUGGCUGCCUGGGCUCUAACGAUGCACUCAUGCAACUUAACUCGGGCAGUUGCCGAGAAGAAUGCUGUGGGAAAACCCAAGAAUUAUUGGUCUUAACCAUCCAACUAGAACAAACUCCUGCAGAUUACAAGUAAUAAUUUUGUCACGGGAACCAAACUAAUAAAUUAAUACCGAUGCAAAACAAGAUGAGGCAAGUGGUAACAACAUACCAGGCGAUGGACAAUGCUCAAUACUGUAGUUUCAAUUUUUAAACUCUUCUUUAAGGAACAAAUGUUGAAAAGAAAAACUUUAUAAAUUCCAGCUUGAUAAUAUACCAAAGAUAAGGAUUCAAUCUACGUGACAGGUUUAAGCAGAUGACGAAAGUACUCAGCCUGGAAAACAUAAAAUUGACAUAAUAUCAGUUUAAACAUCCAUUUAUAAUAAUUAUCGAUACAAAGAAUUAAUUGAAGCAACUGUUGAGUAAAAAAGGAAAUGAAUGAAACUAAAAUUUCAACUAACCUGGCAAUCCUCCAUUGGUUGAAAGCAUGCAAUUACUCUAACUACAAUUGUUGGUUUUCCGGCAAUCCCGUUUUCGUGUUUCAACGCUCUAAAUCUCGUUUGACUAGCUGCUUGGCACACCAUAACUACGUAUUUCUCCUUGGAUUAAUCACUCCUAUCGAUAAUGGAUGAGAACAAAGCUAACCAAAUUGACCAAGAUAUAAGACAAAUAAAAUAUCUACCUAGUACUAAAGAAAUGGUUUGACUGGAAGAAGUGGCAGAAGGAGCUCAAAUUACGACUAGUGUUUAACUGACAAUCUUUUCUAACUAAUCCUAUAUUGAUCACGAAAAAAGGAAAAAAAGUGGGUAGAUCCCAUUGAUGGUCGAACAAGGUAGCUCAUAGAAAAUUAAGGUAAAUUGAAAAGGCAGAAAUUUUACAAAAUAACUCGGCAGUACAAAUUCAAUCGCACAACGAUUCGGAACACAUCAACCAAGACACUCCACCAAGGCAUGCCGUUUCCCUUCUAUGUUUUACCAAAUUGUCCCCAGCUUUUAUGUUCUUUGUUGGUACACAACCAGAUAUUUCUGCAAAAAGGAAAGGUCUAAUUAGAAGAGAGGCACUACUACGAAAAAUCGAAAACAUAAGAUGUGAAUAUGGCAGUCAAAACAGCAUAAACCACUCAUUAAUAUGAAUACGAACAUAACAUAAAACAAUUCUUAUGAAUAUGGAUGAUGCAUUUUUUCUUCAUAGAGCCUAUGUUAACUCUUCAUCUUCUCUAAAGUACCUAUGUUCGACACCAUAUUCAAACAGUAUAUGGGGAUACACUCAUCCAAGCACUUACAUUGAGCCCCAUGAGAUAUCUUAGAAUAUAAAAGUUCAUCACAUACAAAUUCCAAUUUCAUUUCAGUCCCAUCAUUUCUCAUAAUAACACUAAAUAAAUAAACUAAUAUAUAAACCAAGCAAAAUUUAAUUCUAGAAUUAAAUGUAACUACUGAUAUAAACAAAUUUCAUUAUAUAAAAAGGAACACAUGACUAAAAAAUCCUGGAAACUGAAAUAUUAUAAGAAACCCAAAAAAGAAAGAACAAGUACAAUAAACCCUAGAGAGAUGACUACCGAAGAAAGUGAUAAAAGUCACAAAACACCAAAUUCAACUCAAUAUAUAUAUUCUCUUAAUUCUUCAAAAAUGGAAUAUAUAUAAGAUAAAAAUACAAACUAUGAUGAAAUCAACCCCCCCCCCAAAGAAAUUGAUUAUAUAAAACCCAAAGAAGCCUUCUUCUUUUUUUUUCUCCAAAAUUUUAACAAUUUAUCAGAAAUCAACAUCCAAGAACAAGAUCCUCAAAACCCCAGAAAUAAUAUGGGAAAUCAAAGCCUUCCCCCCCCCUUUUUAGUCAACAAACAGAAACAAAACAAGCCCAUCAAGCAAACAACAUACAAGAACCUGUAAAAAGGAAGAAACUUUGAAUAUAAAAACUUACAGAAAAAAAAAACGAAAGCUUGAUAUUAUGGGAUCCCAAAGGUACCAAAGAGAUAAGCUGAAGACAGAAUCUUAAGAGAACUAAGAGAGAAAAAAAGAAGAGAACAGUUAAAACUCAAAAGAGGAAACAAAUGUGUGUAAAAGAGGUGAGUGUGUUAAGGGACAGUGAGAAUAUAUAGAGAAUUUGGUAAUUUGGCUGCCCAAUUUACCCACCAUUUCUUCCGCCAAUUAUUGCUAUGCUAUACCAUUUUUUCACUGUUCCAUGUACAGUAAUUUACCCAUUUCAGUGGUUAAAUUAAAUCUUUAAUUACCGUUGGUUUAUUUUUCCUUUACAUUUUUAUUGACUGAAUUUCAAUAAACGGGCCUGUAUUUGAUCCAGGCUUAUUAAACUAAGCCAUGUUUCUCUUUUUCCAAGAACAAAAAUCAUUUUUUUGGGUAAAAUUUUAUAAUCUAUUAAUAUAUUAAGGUAAAUCUAAUCAGAAAUUUAAUAGAUUUUAUAUAAUAAUUUUAAAAAUAUAAUUUUUAGUAAAUUCAAUUCUGUUUCGGAUAACCAUAAUUUUUUUAACAUUAAUCAUUAAUCUCAAUAAAUUUUUAUCCUAUCCGCUCUUUUUGCUAUAAUAUCUAAAACUAUCAAUAGUCCCUUCUCAACCUUUAAAUAGGUGAAUAAUUCGCUUCAUCACACUUGAACUCACAUCCUCCUACACUGAUAAAAAUAUCAAUACUAAUCGAAAUAAGACUCAAUUAACACUAUAUUAAAAUAUUUCAAUUUGAGUCCAUUUUCAAUUUUUUUUACUCUACCCUAUACUACAUUUAGUUUUUUUUUUUUUAAUCGCAUAUAGGUAAGAGGUCUUUGGUUCAGGGUGUAGCCAAAGGGCAGAGGCCUGGUUGAAUGGUUUAAUUGUUAUUUUAGUACUUUCCAAUAUAAAUAGUUCAAUUUCAUUCUCUUUAGAUUGUUUUAAAUAUAAAAUUUGUAAAUUUUGGCUCAUUUCAAAAGUUAAAAAGUUCAAUUAAAGUCAUUUUAAUACAAAAUUUUAAACUUUGUGUCCCUCUCCCUGUAACAUAAUUUUUAACUUCAGCUCUACCCUGAUUUACACUUGAAGAGCACACUUUAAAAUGAUGAAUAUUUAUUGAAUUAAUAGACAUUGGAAGAAAAUAAUAUUGAUUUAUGCUCACGAUGACAACACUAUACAAUCCCAAAAAGAUACUCUAUCUACCCGUGUCAAAAUUGUAUUUUGACUUUCAAAAAUAAUAAAUUUUUAAUUUAAUCUUUUAAAAAUUAUAAAUAUAUAAAUUAAUAAAAUAAUAAAAUUAUAUUUUAACUCUCGUAAAAAUACAUAACUCAAUUCCAGCCCCAAUCCUCGGAAGAGUGGUGAAAUUAUCUAAUGUUUGAGGUGCUGAAAAAGCAUGCAACAUGUAGUGAAUGUUAAGAAGAUGAAGCAGAGAGACAAAAACACGUGCCAUACACUCAUUGGCAAUCUAAGCAGGUGAUUACCCAAUUCAAAGAAAAAUUUACUAAGUUGUAACAAGUAAUGAGCCAUGAUCCCACAACAAUAAUGGUAAAGUGUGAGUUGGGUGGGACGUUUUAGAAUUAUCCAGUCCUCCACCUCCAUCAAUCAUUUUUCUAUUUUAAUUAUAAUCCUCGUGUAUUAAACCUCAUCCCCAAAUUAUUUAAAUCAUAAUUUUUGGGUAUUUUAAGAGAAUUUUAAGGUAGAUUGAACCAUUUUUUUUAAUAAAAGCAAAUAUUUUUUUAUUGAAUUGUUCAAUCGACAAUGAUAUUUUAAUUUUAUUAUUAAAUUUUGAAUAUAAAAAAUAUUUUAUUGAAACUAAAAUUGUAUUUUAUUGUGCAAUGUCAAAUUACUAGACCUGUCUCACCCGACUUAAAUUUAAAAAAACAAAACUAUUUUUUUUGUUGUUUUUACUGUUUUUGCUGUUAUUUUCUUGUUGUUUUCUUACUAUUUUGUUACCAUUUUAAUAUUAUAUUGUUACUACUUGAUUGAAUAUUGUAUUAACUCUUGUUUUAUUGUUAAUUUUGUUAUUAUUUUAAAAACAUUUACUUGUUAAGUUGCACCUAUCUUAAUAUUAUUUAAGUAUAUAAUAUUUUUAAUAUUUUUGAUUUAUUAUAUAUUUUUUUAAAAUUAUAUUAAAAAAAAUAUUUCAUUGAAACUAAAAUUGCAUUUUAUUGUGCUUGAUUGAUCAUUUUUGUUUAUAUUUCAAUAAUAUAAAAUUGAGAUUAUAAAGUAGAUGCAUUGAUAUUGUACAUUUAAGUUUUUUCAUUCAAUUAGUAACUCAAAAUUAAAGAUGUAAAUGCGUGGGGUGAUCUUAAAAAAUGAGAGGGUUUGGAUAAAAAAAAUAAGUCUUAAAAAUGGGUUUGGUCAAAAAAAUAAAACCUAUUUAAAAAAUAGGUGGACCUUAGGUAGGGUUUUUUUGCCUAGGCCAUCCUAGCCCGAAUUUGCAAUAGAAAAAAUCUUUUUUUGUUUUGCUGUUGUUUUCUCAUUUUUUGUUACUGUUUUGUUACUAUUUUACUAUUAUGUUGUUACUAUUUGUUAUUAGUGUUUAGAUAUUGUAUAACACUUGUUUAAUGUUAAUCUUGCUACUAUUUUAGAGGCAUUUGCUUGUUAAGUUGCACUUAUUUUAGUAUAAUUUAAAUUUAAAGAUUUUUUUAAAAUUUAUUUUGAAUUUAUUGGGAAAUAUUUAUUUUAAUAUUUUUAGUAUAUUUGGUGUAUUAUAUUUUAUAAUUUUUAUAUAAAAAAUAAAAAUUUUUAAAAAUUAACACGGCCAAGCCGGGCCCAAAUUUUGACAUUUUUAUCUGGGUCAGACUUGAACUAAAAUUUAGACUCAUUAUUUGGGCCGGGCCAGGCUGAGCCUAUCAACUGAGCCUAAAACUCUGUUAGGGCCUGGCCCGGCCAAUGGACAACUCUACUCAAAACUCAUAAAAAAUUAAUUAAUUAAUUAAAAAUUAAUAUAUUUUUAUAAACUUCAUGUCCGUUUUACAAUACAUAUUCGGGGUUCGUGGCUACCAUUCCUAGCAAUGUCGUCUUCCUCCCCUCAGGAAUGUUUAAAAUUAUAUGCAAUUCAUGUUAUGUUAAAUUUAAGAGUUGAUGAUUUGACUCAUUGUGUAGCAAAUGCAAAUUGUUAGUUAACUUUACUCAUCAAUUUCAAUGCAUUUAAUAAAAAUAAUUAUGACAUAUAAUAACUUUGAAAAUGGUACCUUAUGUGUAAUUAGUGGAAAGAUUUAACCCCAUAAUAAUAAUAAUUUGUAUUUUAAUUGAAAGAUAUAAAAGUGUUGAAACUUUGAAUAAUCACUAGGCAAUGCUUUUAUAAAAGCAGCCAUGCUUAGAAAGCUUCUUUAAUUAAUUAAUUAAUUAAAUGUGCUGAAUAAAGCAAAAUAAAUACAAAAAAUUAAAAUUAAAAAAAAAGGUAUAUUAGGUUGGGAUUUUGGCAUCGCAAUACUUAUGCCAUAACAUGCACAAUAUAUACUUCUAAUUUUAAUUAAAAUUGAAGUCUACAUAUUAAACUUUUGGGGGUUGCUAUAUGCCACCGUUAAUUGUGGCGUUGAUGGAGAUUUGUAAAUUCAUAGAAUACUUCCCAAAUUUCAUAGCUACUACCUUUAUUCUUUUUAUUAAAAUAAUAAUAACGGGUCGAUUGAGUCUUAUCUUGAUUGAUAUCGGUAUUGUUAUCAGUGCAAGAGAACAUGGGUUUGAGUGCGCUGAAACACAUUAUCCUCCUAUUUGGGGAGGGGCUAUGAGUAGUUUUAGGCAUUGUAUCAAAAAGAACCGAUAUGAUAAGAACUUAUAAUGAGAUUAUUAUUCAAAAUAAUAGUAAUAAUAAUGGAGCAAUGAAAUUUUGGUAUUAUAGGUAAAAGUUGAGCUUUUAGGUAUUUAAUUAUUGGUAUAACGAUUUAUUUGGCACUCCUUCAACUUUACAAAAAAAAAAUAUUUUAGCUUACCAUUUAAUUUUUUUUAUCUCUUUUAGUCCUUGAACGUGCGCUAUUUAUCAAACCAUUCUCCAAAUGGAUUGUAUGCCACAUCAACAACAUUAUACUAGGGGCAUAGUUAGGGGGAUGGUAGGGGUUGACCCCUAUAAAAUGAAAAAAAUUUCAUUUAGGACUUUUAAAAUUUUAAAUUAGUAAAGUAAAAUUACACUUUAGUCCCCCUAAAAAUAAUAAAAAAAUCAAUUUAAUCCUUGAAAAAUUAUAAAGAUUUAGGGUAUUAAAAUGGUGAAAUCACAUAUUUACUAUCAUAAAAAUUAUAAUUUAAUUCAGCCUGCACUAAAAAAAAUUUAUGGCUUCGCCCCUAUGUUAUACGUUAACUUUUUCAUCCAUUUUAAGAUGAUUUGAUAAACAACUCAAGUUCAAAGACUAAAAAAAGGUGAAAAAAUAAAAUGAGAGCUAAAAUGAUUUUUUAAAAUUGGAGGGCUAAAUAAGUUAUUAUGCGUUAAUUAUUUAAAUUCGAGUCUCAUUAUUCUUAAUUACUGUGUGAGCCUCCAAUCUCACCAUGCACAAUCAAUUACCAAGAUUUUAUAAUUUGAAUUCGAUGCAGUGGAUAAAUUAGAUAAACCAGCUUGAUAAAUCAAAUUUGAAUUCGAUGUAAUGGAUAUUUUGUAAUCCAGUAAUUAUUGUCGGUUUGUUGAAUUGCAAUUAAACUCGGCCCAAUCUUUUACUAAAAGGAUUGAGCUAAUUAUAUUGUCUAUAUUUUUUAUAGAUAUAUUUUUAUCUAGAUAUAUAAGAUCUUAGACACAAAAAUAAAAGACUAAGGGUGAGUUUGGAUGGGCGAUUGGGUGCGGUGCGGUGCGUUUAGCUUACUUUUUCUCUCACGCUACAGUAUCGCUACAGUAUCUAAUCUCACCUCCACCGCUGUUUUUACACUAACCGCAGGUCAACGCACCGCCCAUCCAAACCCACCCUAAACACAACUCAAAUUUUCUCCUGGGUCCAUAAUUAAUCCUAUGUAUGGAGAGUCAUAUUCCAAUUCUCCAUCCGUAUGUAUUUGUAUUCGUUAUUGUAUGGCCGUUUUAUCUAUAAACUCUAAAAAGAAAAUAAAAUAGAUCAAUAACCAACGAGGCAUUAGCAUUGUUAGCAAAGGUUGAGGCCCUGAUCUUUAGAUGCUCAAUGUGAGAAGCCGAACUUAGACCAAAAUAAAAUUACCUAAAUAUACUUUAAAUCCCAAACAAUUUUCUUAUAGAAACUUUACUUCGUAUUAUAUUAUUACAUUAUUAGAAGAUAGAGGUUAGGAUUGAAUAUAGACAUAUUUGUUUAAAAAAUAUAUGUACUAUAUCAUAUUUAAAUAUUUAUACAUGUAUUGAAUAUGAUUACUUUUUAAAAUAAAAUUUGAAAAAAAUUAGACAAUAUGACAUGAAAUUGAAAAAUUACCUCAAUAGGCAAGAAAGCAACACUUUAAACAAAAUUAUUAAUGACUCAAGUUGCAAUAGAAAUAAGAUUUUGCAGAAAACAAAAGCUCAAACAAAUUCAUGAUCUAUAAAACAUAUUUAAUAGUUUCAACUAGAGUUGCUCAGGUUUAAGCAUGAUAUUAACAUAUUUUAUAUUGUCCAAGUUUGGUCUAACCUGAAAUAUAAGUCUAAAUUUUUGCUCAAACUUACUCGUAUUUGUAAAUAGCUAAUCCAAACUCAUUUUAAACCCCUUCAUUUUUUUUGAUAAAUAUUUAAUACAUUUUUAAUUUAAUAUUUUAUAAUUAUAUACAUAUUUGUUUAUUAACAUUUUAUAUAUAGAUAAUUUAAUAAUUUUUAAUAUUUACAUUAUAGUAUUAUAUAUUAUAAUAUAUUUAAUUUUUAUGUAUUAUAUAACAUAGUAUACUAAAUAACAAAUUUAUUUGAAUGUAACGGUCCUACUGUUGUAGUAAAUUUGGGUUGAAUUUUGGAAUUUUUAUUUAAUGCAUGUAAAGAAUCUUUCACUUACAGCUUUUGGUUAAAUGAUACAUCUCCUCAAUUUUUAAUAAUUUAAAUUUAAAUUUGGUUAAACCAAUUUCGUUGUUCAUCGUUAAUUCAACGAUCAAAAAUCUUUGAGCAGCUUCCUCACUUUCUCCAAUGUCACAAACAGCACCACCGUGAACGGUCCUUGCCUUGAAAUUGUGGGGAUGAAGCCUUUGUACAAUGCCAUAGGCCCCUCCGCUCUUACCGUCUUCAAUGCACAAUCCAAAGCACCCGAGUACGGCGGUUCCGCCCCAGGCGCCACCUUCAUGUUCAUCACCCUCGUCUUGAUCACGUCAAUGGGGUUGGACGCCACUGCCGCCACGAACCCCGCCGCGAAGCUGGCCGUUACGUGGGUUCCGAUCCCAUCACCCAUCACUCCUUUUUCCAGUAUCGUCUCCUUGACUUGAUCGUACGUCGCGAGCUGCGAUGCCGUGACGAUCAUUGCGCGAUUCACCGUGAGAGCUGAGCCGCGCCACAAGCUACCCACACCUUCUUGUUUUGUCAUUUGACUCAAUGCAUCGAUUACACUCUUGUAAUUGCGUCGCUGAUCAAUAGGGAGUCGCCCAUCAGCUUGCAUUCGAACCAUUGCUACGUCAGCGGGGUUGCCAACGGCGGCGCCGACACCCCCGGCAAUAAGUCCAGCCAAUAUCUUGCUCGUAAGUGGCAAAUUCCCAGUUUCCUUGUCAGUCCAUUUGUUCUUUAUAAUUUCAUAAAGUCCCAUACGGGUAGUAGAAUACAACGUUUGUCGAAGCAUCGUGGCGGAGACACCGGAGAAAAGAGCCGCUACACCUUCCAAUUGGAUGAUACGGACACCGAUAGAAAUGGGACCAACACGAGGUUGCGAGAUCGAAACAUUCCCAACGGCAGCAGAGUUGAACGGCAAGUGCCGGACGAUAAAGUUGAAGGGAAGGAUUAGGGAGAUGGGAUUCACCUUGAAGUUGCAUACGGACCUUGAUAAGGUCGAGAGGAUGAGUUGAAGCGCCGGCGACGAUAGAUGCAAUGCCUCCCUCAACGAAACCUUUCAAACCCAUGGUUGCAAUUGGAGAAAAGCAAGGAAGUAAAAGAGAGAAAAUGGAAGAAAUGUGUGUUGUGUUGGAAAGAAGUGCAGGGAGAGUAGAUUUAUAUACACAACAAAGGGAUUGAAGUUGGAAGAAGGAAUGUGAUGGAAACCUUCUUGGUUGUUCAAUUAUUAAAUGUUCAACGCGGUGGUGCGUUAUUAAUUGAAGCAUAUUAGGUCGUGUGCUGUUGACUUUGACGGUACUUUUUGCUUUUUCAAUUGUGGGUACCGGCCUAUACCAAUGGCUACGCAUUGCAAUUGCAAUUGCAAUUGCUUUGACGGUGUUUUAAUGGCUACGCAUACUUUGAAUUUGCUCUAUACCAAUGGGGCUGGAAGAGAUCAGGUCUGCCUGCCCAAUUUGCAUGUUUAGGUCACUCUCACCAUUCAACUUGAGCUGUUAGAGAGCAGUCUAUUUCAGAAAUUAAAACACAACUUUCCCAUCUUGUCUUUGUCUCUUAAUGCUGAUUAUAAACCCAUUUAAUUGUUAAUGUUUUAAAAAUACAUUUUACUACCUACAAUAGGGAUUUGGCUUAUGGUAUUUCAAUAAUAAAUUUAGGGUAAACUAUCAAAACAAUCACUUUUUUUUACCUCAGAUUACAUUUUAGUUAUUUAAGUUUAAAAUGUUACGUUUUAGUCACUUACGUUAUUGCAUUAUAACAUUUUAGUCAUUGAGCCAUUAAUUGUUAUUAACGGUGUAACGUUAAGCUGGCAUGUCAUAUUAAAUCAUCAUUUCAAACAAAAAUUUUAAGUUAAUUUAUACAAUUGGUCCUAUAUUUGUUUCGUUUUGAACAAUUUAAUUUUUUUUUCUUUUAUAUUUUUUUAACUUUUUUUAUCUUUAUUUUCCAUUCUCUUCUGCUUCCCCCUCUGUUUCUCCAUUUUUUUAAGGUAGUUUUCCUAUGUUUUCUAUUUGUUAAAACUAGUCCAUAUACUUUUAUUUUUUUGAAGAAUUUAAUUUUUUCGAGUGAGACAAGCUUUUGAACUAGUUUUAAUAAAUGAAAAACAUAAAAAAAUUACGUUAAAAGAAAUAAAGAAGGGAGAAAAACAGAGAGAGAAGCAAAAGAGAAUGAGAAAAAAAAGUUUAAAAAACAUAAAAUAAAAAAAUAAAUUACUCAAAAUAAAAAAAAAUAUAAGGACCAAUUGAAGAAUUUAACUUAAAUUUUUUGUUCGAAUGCCACAUUAGCUUACCGUUACACUGUUGACGAUAAUUAACAGUUCAAUGACUAAAAUGUUACAACACGACAACGUAAGUGACUAAAAUAUAACAUUUCAAACACAAGCAACUAAAAUGUAACUUGAGACAUAUAAAAGUGACUAUUUUGAUAGUUUACCCAUAAUUUUAUACAAUUUCUUUUAUAAUUUAAUUUCAUAUCUAUUUUUCGAAUAAAUAAACUAAAAUUUGGGAUCAACAGUAAAUAGUUAAAGCUUCUCUUCAACUAAAGUAAUAGGAAAACUAAAAAAAGAAAAGAUAUUUUUAUUUGUAAAUAAAUUUAACCAAAAUUAUAAAAUUAAUAAUACAUUCAUUACAAGCCUAACAUUUUAGGUGUAUUUAAAUAAACAAAAUAUCAUAAUUUUUUUCUCAACUAAUGGUAAUCGAAAAAUAUAUCAAAGAGCUUAAUAAUUUAAAUUAUUAGCUUUUACUAUUUUGUUUCGAUUUAAACAAAUUAAAUACAAUAAAAUUGUCAAAAAUAUCACGUUAAAAUUAUCUAAAAAAAAUAUUGAAUUUACUCUCAUAUUUUGAAAUCUUUGCAUUAUUAAAAAUGUAAAAUUAUGAAACCGCUGUACUAAAUUGAAAAAGACAAACUAACCCAUGAACAUUAAAAAUUUUAUCGAUGAAUAAUGACAUGUAUCAAUUUGCUCUUUGAUCUAAGAUGCAAAAAUUAAUAUAUCCAUUUUUUGAGUAGAAGGGGUAAAAUGCAAUAUAAUUCGAUAUAACUCUAAUACAGGACCUUCAUUUUAGAGAAAAUGUUAUAACAAAAUUUCAAUUUGCACUAAUUGAUGAAACAAACCUUAUUAUAAAACUCAGAUCUUAAUUAGCUCAAAGGAGCACAAAAAUGCAUGUCGGCCGGGCUUGAGAAGAAGAACAAAUAAAGUCACUACCUUACCUGGAGAAACUGCUGCGGAGCAUCUCAUAUUAUUAGAAGAAAAAGUCAACACUGAAGAGCUGUCAUACAUGAAUAAGAUGACUCAUAUUGAUACUCAUUUAAUAUUCAUACAUGCUACCCCAUAAUAUCUAUAUAUGUUCAUCACAGGUGAGUUAUUCGGGCUACAUAUUAUUUCUCGACAGUCACCAACAGCCUGCUACUCACUUCAAGCUUAGGACUUCAAUCUCGAAUUCGAGAACCGAGUUUGGCUGUAUUCCCCAUGCAGGAAACCCACCAGCACCAUAAGCAUAGUCUGGGGAGCACUGCAGACAUGUAUAAAAAAGGUCCAUCAGAAGCUUCAUCGAAGCAUGCAGGGACCCUCGGCGGACCGAGGGACAAGAUAUUGCAUUUCCAACAAAUCCAACACAUACAGAAACUUGAGGUGUCAUAACGUAGGUUAUGACACAACAUAUAGAAACAGGCACCCUGAUUCUUUUCUUGAAAACAAAAAGGAAAGGAAGAGAUAAAACAACAAAAGUUUGGAAUUUUGUGGUAUUGACUUAUCAACCUUGCAUUGGGAGGCCCAAGAUAUACUUUUAUGAUAUGAAUUAUCAUUCAUGGCAUUGAUCUAAACAUUUCAACUUCAAAUAUGUAAUUGCAGUACAACUAAGUACACUUGAAAUGAAUUCAGAGUUUGGUGAAACAGUACCCGAAGACGAGCAACUUCUGCCACUUGCAUUCCCAUCACACCUUCAUCCCAUCCUACAAAAGGUAGAACAUAACUUUUAGUUCCCCCCAAGAUGAGGUACUAGGUAUUCCACAAUAAGCAAUAAGACGUGCAAAAAAAGAAAUAGAAAGAGUAAAGGCAGUCACCGCAAAUAAGCAAUGCUUGUUUCCUAAGUUUCAAAAAAGCAUCAAGCAUUCUUUCUUCUUUUUUUCCUUCUCAAUAGAUAUUGAGUUCAACCAACAUGCACAUUAUAGUUUGUCCUAAAUAACAGAUUCUUUUACACCAUUACAUUAUAAGAUCACCUCUUCACCAAUCUAUAAAGUGGAGUGGUAUAUAGAUCAUCAACUUAUGGUCUCGAUUGACAUAAUUAAGACAAAUUUAUAAGCAUUCAGUUGGUCAUCUAUCAACUACACAACUUGAUGGGGAAAGAACAUGAAAUUUCAUCACUUCCAAUGGCCAAUGAGGUUGAUGUCACCAACAAAAAAUGCACUCGGAUAUGACAAAAGACAAGGUGCUAUAGAAGACAAUGGUAAAAACAAGUUCUACUAGAAAAUAAACCACCAUUCAAAUCGAAAAUUUCGAUAUAUCAAACUUUAUGACACAACUCGAACCAAUGCAUUCACAUUCUUUAAUCAAAAUACCCAAAAAAUAAAGUUUCCUGCUUUAGUAAAAAAAACCAUCAAAUUUUGUGGAAUAUUAUGGAACUCAGCAAGGUAGGAACCUAGCAACAAGCCAUUACAAUUUACCUUUUAUAACAGAGCCCUUGCCAAUUUGGAAAGAGAAAGGUUGCUGCCCUGGAUCCUUUGUGCUAAAAAAUGGAUACAAACAGAGAAAUAAUCAAUAAUUCAAAAUUAACAAAGCUGUGUUAGAAAGAAGAGAAAAAAAAACCCCCAAUUCGUCAUUCUGGUAGAAAACCAUUACUCACCUCCAGAAUUUCUCAGACAAAUCUCCAUUUUUCCCUGCACCCAACAAAAUAUUAUCAUCAAACAUAGAAACAAAAAAAUCGUGUAAACAGCACCGAAAAGCAAGCAGUUUUUCAUCAAAUUAGGGCUUUUAGGGAAACCCCUUUUGAUUAAAUAAAAUAUUGAUGACUCAAAAAUGAAAAAAACGAAACAGAUUUUUUUUUCAGCCAGAGAGAAAAGCAGAGAAAGAGAAAUAGCAACCGUAGCCAGUGCAGUGAACGGUGACGGUCUGACCGGGGGUGGGUUUGGGACCGGUUCCAGGCCUGAUGACUUGCUUCUCUACUCCCAUUUUUCAGGUUUGAAUGACAAUCUAACUGGAUUUUCUUAGGGUUUUUGCUUUCUGUUGUCGGCGGUAAUUAUCAGGUAGUCAAUAAAUACAGUCGAGAUUCGAGAGUAUUGCAGGCAAACCGGGGGGGUAUCUUGGAAACGGGCCAGGCCCAUUAUAGGAUGCUUUGGUUAAAAUUAGAUUGAGGGUUUUGUUAUGGGUAGAGGGCCACGGGUGAUCAGUAGUCUCCCGUUUACCCUUGGUUUUGGCAUAAAUGCACCACAAUCAUCUGUUUGAAUCAUCAGUCCAAUUUUUGUACUGCACUGAAACCCUCAGUUUUGACUGAAGCAUUGCCCUACAGUGAAAAAGAAGGAGUCCUUCCUUAGUUGACAAUAAUGCCUAUACUUUUAUUUAUAAUUAUCAUUUUAUCUAAUAAAUAUUUUUAAUUGAUUAUAUAAUUAAUUAAAAUAUUUAUAAUAAAAUAUCGGAAGAUACAUUUUAAGAUUUUAUUAAAUGAAUUUAUAAAUUCACAAAUUUUUAAUAGUUUAGUAAAAUAAUCUAGAAAACUUUCUAUUUAUAUACCAUUUUUAAUCUAAUGUCCUUAAUGGUCAUUUUCUAUUCUCACAUCAUCGCUACAGCUACGUUUGAAUCCAAAUACACACCUCAUGGUUGUUUCUAUUCUCACCGCUACAGUAUCUAAUCUCACGGCUACAAUAACUAAUCUCACUGCCACCAUUGUUUUUAACCUCAUCGGAGGUAAACACACUAUCCAUUCAAACUAAAGCCUUAGUCUCUGUACUAUUAAAAAGAAUCAAAUAAGGCUAAAUUGGAAUAAAGUUAACAUUUACGGUAUAAAAAAUAUCAUUUACUGUUUAACAAAGUUAAUAUAUUUAAAUUUUUUAUGGUUUUGUAAAUGAAAUCUUUAGUCUGGAUUGAAAUUGCAAUUGAUUUUUUAAAAAACAUCUUUUAUACAAUAAAUGUUAACUUUGUUACAAUUUGGACUUAUUUGAUUCUUCUCAAUAGUAUAGGGACUAAAUUGAUCCAUUUACUAAUAGAGGGACUAAUUUGAUACAAUUCCUAUAAUAUAAUGACCUUUUAGGUACUUUAACCUAUUAAUAUCAUACAUAAUUAUUCAAGUUUGUUCUAUUUAAAAUAUUAGUCUCAUAUUUUAUUUAAGUAAGUAAUUCAAUUUUAUUUAGACUCGUUCAUAUUAUUUUUAAUUUUAAAAAUAUAUCUUGGACUAUCAUUAUACCUUUAAAAUUAUAUUUUUAAGUAUAAAAAAUUAAUAUAUAUUUUUUAAUAUUUGUGUUAUAGUAAAAUAUAUUUAACUUUCAUAUAAUAUAAUUUAUAUAAAUAUAUAAAUGAAAUGAAAAAUUACAACCUGAAAAUCAAGGGUAGCUAAGGGAACAAAAAAAUUUCUAUUUAGGUUCUUUAAAAUUUUUAAUAAAGGUAAAAUUAUAUUUUGGCUCAUUUAAAAAUGAUAAAAAAUUGAUUUAAUCAUUUAAAAAUUAUAAAGAUAUAAGCUAUUAAAAUAAUAAAAUUAUAUUUUUACUAUCGUAAACAUUGUAAUUUAAUUUCGAUCCCUGAAAAUUUUUUCUAACUUUGUCCUUACUAAAAAUGAAUAUAAUUAUUUUUAAAUUUUGAAUAUUAAAAUUCUAUCAUCAACUUAAUUCAUAUUUUAAACGGAUUUAAUACAUUAUUUUGUAGUUGAAGAAAAUCAUGAUAAUUGAAGUGAUGCAGUUGCAUGCAGGUAUUGAGUUUGAAAAAGAAAAAGGGCAUACUCAGCAAAUCAUGAUUGAAGAUGAUGCCUUGCAGGUGACUAAAGGCGUUGGGUAGGCAUGAUGUGGAUUUUUGUUUUCUUUUUCCGAUAUCGACACAAGCCAAGGGAAAGUUAUAGGGGUACAUUUCGAUGUUUGUCAUGUUAGGCGCCAAGCCAAGUAGCUAACCGAGUAGUUUAGUGGCGGAUGUGACAUUAAAUUUAAUGGAUUUAGUAGUCGAUUCAUAUGAAUAUUUUUGUUAAUGUAAAAAGAUGUGAGUUUGAGUGUGUAAAAGUGUAUUAUCUUCCUAUUUACAAAUUAUGGGAGGGGCUAUGAGUAGUUCUAGGCAUUGUAUAAAAAGAGCAGAUAUAACUAGAACCUAUAAUGAGAUUAUUCGAAAAAAAAUUCAGGGGUUUAGUAAAAUUUCUUUUAAUUAUAAUUUUUUAAAAUUGGGGAUUUAAUUGAAAACUUUUAUGAAGUUAAUAAAAAUUUUAAAAAAUUUGAAGGAUCUAAUUAAAAUUUUCAAAAAAUUUCAAAAAAAUAUCAAAAUUUUUCAAAUUUUGGAGGGGCCAAAAAGAUUCGCCUCAUGUAGCUCAUAUAAAUUAUCACAUGCUAUUUAUACUGAGUUUGUCUUUACACAAGGAUUGAUUUUGAGGCCUAAUUUUCCAUUAUUAUUGUGGUUGAAAAGUGAUUUUUAAAAAAUUUAACAAUCAAGCCUAUUCAAUUAUUUGGUUACUCGUUUCACCUAACUCUUUAUCUUUUGGGUGCUACAAAUAAUGUAAUAUAAUAAUAUAUAAAUUAGAAAUUAAUUUAACUUUUUAAAUAAUUAAUAUAAAUAAUGAUAUUUUGAUAAUUUUACCAGGCAAAAGACCUAAAUCUCACCUUUUACAUUUGAAUGAAAAACACUUUUAUGACAACACUCACUCUAAAAGCCAAGUAUUUUUCAUUGUUUUUUCGUGGUUGAAAUGUACUUUUGGAACCCCAAACACAAUGGAGAACAAUGCCAUCUUAUGUGUUUUGGAUUGAUACGGUUCGAAUGGAGAGUUCUUUUUUUCAAACAAUAGAAGCUUUCAUUUUCGAAAAUAUUAGAUUCAAUUUAUUGAGUGGAGGCUAAACAAAAAGAGUUAUUUUUUUAAUACAAUAGCUAAUAUAGAUAUGUUUAAGUGUGUUCAAACUCAGGUCCUAACAACGAUUUUAACCGAAUUAAACUUAGUCUAAUCUUAUUGAUAACUUAGUCUAAUCUUAUUGAUAAUAAGGUUUAAUUGAAUAAGCAAUCCUCAAAUUGAAACUAGCCUCUGCUAUUAUCUCUGUUAUAAAAACCACUUCAUGUGUCAUUUUUUAUCGAUAUAAUCAUGUAAAUGAAUUUAAAUAUAUAUAUUAAUGAUCCAAAUAUAAAAAAAAAAAGGUGUAGUUCAGAGAAUAAAAUAUGAAUUAAAGGAAACUCAUUCUAUGUAAAGCAAUUUGAAAAGGCCAAAAAUAGUGUGACAUUAAACCAUUUCAUACAAUCUCAUUUUCCUGAUCAGAUCAAUAAUGGUUACCCACAUGAUGGUCCUUCCUUUGUCAGAGUAAGCUGCUGAUAGUACUUGAACUUAUUUUAGAAAAAACCCCAAUAAUUUACAUUGCUUAGAAAAUGAAAUGAGACGGCACCGACAUGGUAAAAGGUGAGUUAUCGCAUGGUGUUUUACCUCUCCUCUACUUCUCAUUUUACUUUUGUUGUUUCUUUAAAAGACAAUUUUUUAUAUGCUAUUGGAAAAUUACAUUAAUUAUUGCCACACUGCAUCUUUAUUAUUAAGAAAAGGAACAUCAAAACAACAAUCAACAUCAACCACCUUGCUUAAAGAGAUAAUAUGGUUUUUAUUUGGGGAAAAAUCACAUCUAAACUCCCCCACAUAAACCCUCCUAAAACAUCACACACACACACACACACACAAGCAGUAGAUGCAGUUUCAUAGUACGAAAAGACACCAUCUGUCUUCUAAUCGUGACUUAAUUGGUAAUUUUCAUUCCCACCAUUGAUGCACUGCAACUCCUUCAUCCCUCAACCUACCAUACAAAGCUACACAUUCCCAAUAAGCCCUUUUAUUCUUCUUCCUUUUCUUUUUCCUCAUCUUCUUCUUCUUCUUCUUCUUCUUCACUUCAUCUUGCCAUUGAUUGUUACACUCAAAGAACAAUUCAUCCACCAAUCCAAUUGUUUUCCUUUCUAUCAUCUUCUCCACCACUUCAGCUUCUGCUUUCAUUACAACGUAAUCUUCUUCUCUUACAUUCAUCAUCAACCAAUCUGAAACGUCGAUGCUCGCAGUUGCUUCGAUGCUGUAAACCUCAAAUUCUUGGUUCCUUUUGGGGUAGUUUUCCUCAAACCAUUUCAUCACAAUGUUCUUAUCAUCAUCAUCGUUGGAAGAUCCCACAUCGAUGAACACUCUACGAGGGUAAUUUUCAAGAGAAUCCCCUAACAAAUCUGGCAAGAAGUUGAUUUUCUUCAAGUAAGAAUGUGAUUUAGCCCAUGCUUUUCUUGGUGGUUCAAACAAAACAUCUUCCAAACCACUCAAUGCUGCCUUUUUAGCUUCCGUUGUUAACUGAAAAAGCUUCCUUUUAGCUGAAGAAUCCAAUAAAUGGUUCUUUGAACCAAGCUUCUUCAUUGCAACAAUGGUGGAAUGAUAUUUCUUAAGAUACACAAUUAUAUAAUCAGAUUGUUUUUGAUAACCUGUUGAGAUUUCAUCACCUAAUUGCAUAGCAACAAUGCCACCAAUUUUCACUAAACGAUCCACAAACUUGGAAUCGAUAGAACCCGACACGAAAACAAAAUCAAACUCGUCAUUUGGUAAAGAACUUUGUCGAUGAAAAUCAGGUUCAAUCACCAAAUCAAUGUCACCAUUGUUUAUAAACAUGGAACCUUCAUCAUCAUCAUCAACAUCAUCCAUGCUUUCAAUGAAAGAGUUCAAGAUGAGAGCUUUUUGCCCUUUUUUUAUAAGACCCUCAUUAACAAAAUCUCCCCAAAGCAAAUUCCAGUAAUCCAAGCUGAUACAACCAGAGCUUUGAUGAAACUCCAUGGCAUUAAAAAUUGGGCUUGAAGGUCCUUUUAAGAAGGACCUAAUGCAAGGCAAAGUGAUAAUCACCGUCGCUAAAAACAGCGAACGCGACAGAACAAGUAAGAACCUUGGAUCAGGUAGCUUAAUAAUCAAAAGAGUGUCUGGAUUUAACGAAAUCCUUGAACUCUGCAACUGAUUGUAGCUAUGGGGUUUUGGUCGAGACCGACCACCUCCCAUCUCCAUUUCAAAUGGUCGGAUCUGUAGCUAAAAGAGCUUAAUUUUCGCCUGGUUUGGCUAAAGGGUACCUUUUGAUUGCUGGGAAAAAGAACCCUUACCCUUCGCACAAAUUUGUGAAAAACAAAUGAUAAAAACAGAGACAAAAUCUAAACACAGCUAAGAAAAAAAAGAUGCUUUAGCGAGUACAAAAUCUAGCAGCAGUGUGGUUACCACCCAAAAGAGCAACACAGGGUCGAGUUCUGCAACAAAGGAAAAGCAAUGACCUAAACCUUUCUACCUCCAUGGCUGUUCUACUUCUCAAAAUCCCCCUUUUGUGUGUGCGUGUGUGUGUUCAGAUCAGAUGAGUGAAUUUCCAGGAAAACCCAGAUUCAAGUUUCCUGGAGAUGGAAUUAUGAACAAAGAAAAAGAGAAAUGGAACCAUUAGAGGAUGAAGGGGGAGAGUGAUGAAAAGUGGGUUCUUUUUUGGUCAGCUUUAAAAUAGGGGAGAGUUAAAAUUAUAUGGGGUUUGAUGAGCUGUGGGUUGUGUACCGAUGUGUGAUUGUCCUUUGGUCUUUUUGAUUCACCUUAAUUUUGUCUAGUUGUUUGAAGGUUGUUUUUUUUCCAUGCCAAGCCACUGUCUUCAAUGAAAGAAAUUUGUUUUGGUGUUUAGAAAUUUCGGCUAAAAACACCAAAAUUUAUAGAAACAACUUUCUUCCUUAAAAUAUGCUAUUAGUUCCUGUAGUUCUUAUAUUUUUAAUUUUAAAAAAUUUAAAAUUUUAGUUUCCUUUGAAAAUUUUCAAUUUAUUAUGUUUAAUUUCCAUUAAUCAUACACCACAACAUUUGAUGGUAGCUUAAUGGAUAUGUCAAUUUGACAAAUUUUAAUGAAAAAUAUUUAUAAUUUUAGGUUUUAAAUAAAAAAAUUGGCAGACUUAAUUUUUAAUUUUAAAUAUAAGAAGUAAAUAUCAAGUUUUAUUGAAAUAUAAGGACCAAUAACAUAUUUUAACCUAAUUUCAAAGUUUAAAAAUGAUUUGAAUUAUUGAGAUAUCCACAACAUAUUAAUUCUUAGACAAAUAAUAAUAAAAUUAUCUAAUUGUGGCUUAAUAUUAAUUCAAGUUCGAAGGGACGUGGACCACCAAAAUAGUCCAUUGUCUCCUACAUAAAGCAUGAGAGCAAAAUAGGAGAAAUCGUCCCACCCAUUCUUAAUCAGCUUGACAACUUCCAUGCCAUCACUUUCCACUAUAAUCUAAAAAACCCCACGGUCACAAGCAAGUGUUAAGCUAUAAAAAAAAUAACCCAUAACUCAAAUGAGAGAAUAGUAUCCACAUCAAUAUUAUGAGAAAACCCUAAUAUCUACUCGUCCUUUUCAUCAUGGAAGUGUAACACUCCUUACUUGAUCUGAUUGUCGGAUUAAGAUAUUGGAAUGUCACAUUCAUUAUCGGAGUAACUACAAUAAUAUCAUAUCAAUAAAACAUUCAUAAUGCAUAAAGAAUAUGAUUUUCUAGCUUAAUUGAGCUUAAAACAAACUUUCGAAAGCUUUCUAAGUAGCCAAAACUCGACUCAAGACAAAAGGGUAAAGGCUCAAGCUAUCGGGAGCUCGUAGCUAUGUGACAUAGCUUGUCACGACCUCGAUAAAUUCCUCUUCGUGACGUGACUAUUUGGCUUAAGCUCGUCGCGACUUCAACAUCUCGAUGUUGCAACGUCAAACCUGCAACUUCAAAACUUUCACCUUUUGCUCCCUAACCACAUUAAACCACUUCCAUAGGUUGUAUCCCUUUCAAACAACCAAUAACACAUUGCCUAUAUACAUUUAUCAACUCUAGACAUUACUCAAAUCAUCAUGAAACAACUUCAAACAUAUCUAAAAUAUAAAGUUUACAAUGAAGAUCAUUAGCCAACAACUUCAUCCUUUAGUUCAUAUAUAUAACAUUCUCAAUGAAAUCCUAUGUACAUGCCAAAUCUAUAUCCAAAAUUUGAAAUAAAACUUCUUCUAAAGCUUGAGAUCUGAUGAGAUGAGUUGGAGAUGAGUUGGAGACGAUUUUCACCUUAGCUUAAAAAUGAUCUUCACCUACGUGUUUGAAAGAAAUAUGUUAAGCUCACAAGAGCUUAGUAAGCAUAUUAAGAAUCAUACCAUGAAAUUAAAAUUAAUUUCUUACAAAACAUGUAUAUAUAUAAAUAUAAUAUUUCCAUUUCAUUCAAUCACUAUAUUCAAAUUUUGUUUCCAUAAUAACUUUAUUGAAGCACCAAUUCCACAAGUUUUAAUUUACUUACCUAUGCCACAUUACAUUCACUUACCCUAUAAUGCUAUUGCCCAAUUGUAGACUUAGUAGAACACAAUAGGAUAUAAGAAAAUAUCAAUAAGAUGCACCGAAGUGCCACUAUUCUUCACAUGGACGUGUGGAUAUCACUUUGCACCGAAGUGCCAUUCACUUGCACCAUAAUGCCGCUUUCACUUGCAUCGCUACUAUCACUUGCGCAUUUAGUCACUUUCCUAAUGGCAUGCCAUUUAUAUCCUACUAGUUCUCAUUUUUUCUACAUAGACAUUUAAGCUAUACAAUUUAUUUACAUUUUCUCAACAAAUGAAACAAUUCAAACUUUACUAUUUUUACAAAUUAGUCCUUAUUCAUACAAGAUCAAUCAUUCAUCAAAUUUCACUUAACAUUUAUUUUAUCAACAUUUAACAUUUCACUUUAAUACAUCAUAUCAAUAGCUAUUUCACUAUCUUAUUUUUACACUCUUAUAAUUUAGUCCUUAUUCAUUAAAUUCACUACACAUACACUUUCCAAUUCAUAACAAAGUACAAUUUUAUAUUCAAAUAAUUCCCUAAAAUCAAAUCAUCAAUUUCAUAUAUAAAUAAAUCUUAAAUAAAAUGCUAAACCAAUUUGUAAAAUUCUUGACAUACUUAUAACAAAAAUUGCUUGAAAAUGACCUCUUUCUUCCUUCCUUCACUUUUUUGCUAUCUCCUUGCCCUUGUCACCCACUUGGUAUUCACUAUUCUUCUCUCUCUUCAUUCACAUAAUACACAUACACAACAUUUACACAUCAAUACACUAUUUACAUAUCACUUCCAUGCAUGUCAAAUAAGAUGUUUAUGAAAUUUCUUAAGAAAAAUAUUGUCUUCCUUACCUUAACCUUUCCUAACCCCUAACUUCACUUUUCUCUUCAAGAUGUAUUUUUGCUAAUUCCACCAAAAACUAAUCAUGCCAUGAAGUUUCUAUUGUUUUUUUACUAAAACCUAUGGUGGAAAUUUGAGUUUAAAGCUUGGAAUAGGAUAAAAAUGGAGGAGGAAGACUAAAAUGAAGAAAAAAAAUAAAACUUGAUGAAGAUGGGGAGGGAGACACGUGAGAGAGAGAAGCUAAAAAAAGAUAAUAGCCUUUUUUCUCCUUUCUUCUACAACUUUCUUCCAAAACAUCUUUCAAUUUUUUUGUUAGAAUAAUUUAAAAUAAAAUCUAAUCAUCAUCAUUACAAUUAAAUGGUGCCCGUUCAUUUUUAAUCUCAUCCACAUUUCCAUGCACUUUCAUGGUCAAAUUACACUCUAAGUCUUUGCUCUUUUUUCUCAUUCAUUUAAUCUAGUCAUUUCUUAUUUCUAAAAUUUUUAAACUAUGGCCUAACACUUCUCACACAUUUACAAUUUAGUCUUUUCCUUAAAUUAAUUUUCCUAAAGUCAAAAGUCUUUCUAAUUCUUUAUAAUACCCAAUUACCUUAUCUGCUAAUAUUAAUAAUUCUAUUCUGUCUACUUCAAAAAUUUCGAACGUGUCAACUUGAAUUGAUACUGUUCACUUCUUAGGGAAUGUUAAGGAUGUUACAGGAAGACCCUUCCUCUUGAAGCCAUCACUCUUGUCUUACUUAGCGCAUUGUUAAUGUUGAGUUUCACCACACCACGGGGAGGUUUCAAUCAAGUUUUAGCCUGAUAGGGAAAAUGAUAAGAAAAAGCAACACUUUUAUCAAGGUCAUUAUAACACCCUGCCAUACAUAAGCUUCGCUGCACAACUCUUCUAGGGUCCAAGCCCUUAUCCUAAAAAAUAAACCAAUUUCAUUACUUCCAGAUACAAUAACAAGUUGUCACAAAACAACUCUUUCAAUUACCUUCCUUCCUCAUAAUAUUAUAGCGAUUAUGAUGCCCCUUACUAGCCAAGAAUCAAAAUCAACAUCAAAGAAACUGUUACUAACCACAUUGGGCACUAGUUGACCCCAAACAUCUUUGACAUUGAAAUAAUCCCACAUGGCAUAAAGAGUAGUUUCAACACAAGAAGAGCAAAUUGGGUAGAUAUCAACAGUUGUUAUAGCUCUCCUUAAGUGUAACGACCCGAUUUUAGUCGAUUUAAAAAAAAUGAGAUUCUGAAGCCAAAUUUCGUGAAUUGGAUUAGUGAAAUUAUUAAUUGAAGAGUUAGCACAUCUGGUAUGAGAUUAUAUUAUUAGAUUAUCAAGUAAUUAAAUCGAGAAAGUCGUUAGUUAUAAUAUAAAGACUAAAUUGUAAAAGUAUUAUUACUAUUGAGUUUUCAUCUAGAAAAAUGCAAGAGGGCUUAUGUAGCAAUUCAAAUAAGGUCUUAGAUGCAAAUUUCCCAUAUUAAAAGUAUAAGUUAGUGGCUAAGCUCAAUCUUACCAUUAAAUUCCACUAAGUUUUGAGACAUGAAAUCUUAGCCAUUUAUUUCUUAUUAAUUAAGGCUCAUCAAGCUUAAUUUCAUCACUAAGAAUAUAUAUAUACACAAAUGAGUGGGAGAGAGAAGAGAGAUUCAACUUUUCUUUUUCUUUGCCUGUCCAUAGUUUGGAAGAAAUGGGAAAUUAAGCUAAUCCAUGUAUUAGAUUUCUUAAUUGUCAAAUGUUUAUCAAGUUGCCAUUAAUGAGUUUUAGGAGAUUUAAGCUUGAUAAUGAUAAAAUUAUGGAUGAUAUGUUUAAAUUAUGUAAGGACCAUGGUAGAAUGUAGUAGGUAAUGUUGGAUUAAGGUAGAGAUUUAGUUAAGCUAUAUAGUUAAUUUUAUGACAUUAGGGAUCAAAUUGGAUAGAAUGAAAGCUAUUAGAAAAUUAUGAUAUAGAUUGAAAGCUUGAGAUUCCUAAUGAAUAAAUACAAAGUCAUAUUUAGAUUUGAUCAGUAAAAUAAAAAAAUACGAAGAUUUCGAAUAUUAGGGCUGAGAGGGACAAAAAGGAAUAAAUUGAAUCCAUGAGUUAUUGAUUGUUUCUAUGAGUUUUAUGUGAAAUUAAUAUCAUUUCCAUAAUUGGAUUUAUCGUAUGUAGCUAAAGAUAAUGCCAAGACAUCGCGGGAUAAGCGAAAGAUGAAGUCUAUUGACAACUAGCCUUAUUUUGGUUUGUGCUUUCAUGAUUCAGUUUCAAUACAUAACUCAUUAAUGUUAAUUUAAGUAAGGUAAUGUUUAAGUUCUUUGUCUCGUGAGAGGUGAAUAUACUUGUGUUAUGUUGAAAUGGUGAAUAUGAUGAAAAUGUGAUUCAAUAUAUGAUUGGUAUGUCAAAGCAUGAUAACGAUAUGAACAUGAUAUGAAAAUGCUAUGUAAUUAGUAAAUGACAUAUGAACUUGUAUACAUUGAUAUGAUGAAUUCUCUAUUAAACAAUCUUAGAUAGAGUUCGAGUAUAGUUGGCAUACUAUAAGAUUAGUUAUACGAGGAUUUCUUUGGUUUAGACCUAUGAGGCAUGGAGCAAAUAUUGCUUCAGGCAUACUGAUGAGGUGUUAGGCACACAAUACUUCAAUCUAUAUUGAUGCGGCACAGAGCGUAUAUUACUUCGGACAUAUAGAUGAUGUACUAGAUGCAAAUCAUAUUAGUGUGAUGGUAGAUUGAUCUAUGUAUCUAUUUUGAGUACAUGUUCGAUUACCAGGGGCCACAAAAUAAUCUAUGAAUGAUUGAUUAUCCAUAUUCAUGUGUGAGUAGUUUUACUUGGAUAGAUUAAAUGACUACAAAAACAAAUGACAUGAAUGAUAACAUGUAAAAGAUCAUGCGAUUUGGAUAUUACAAUAUCUAAAGGUCGAUGAUGUUAUGAUACAAGUCAAGCAAUAUGUCAACUGCUACAGUAUAGGGGCUUGUAUCGGUAUAAACUUGUAUCGGUACAAGUUAAGAAGACAAGUGUCCCUCCCCUAUUUCAAGUUAUUUUGACCCUUGGGACCCGAACUUGGUCCUAGACACCUCCGAUCACCUAGAAACCAUUUUAAAAUGUUUCUAAAUUGUUUUAAAUGACUUGAAAAUGUUUUUAAUCAAUGGAAAUGAUUUGAUUUGAAUGGAUGAUUGUUUGAAUUACUUGAUGAAUGUGAAGUAGAAGUUAGUUCGAGUUGCUUCAGUAACAAAUGUGGUAUUUCACAUUUAGAUCUAGUGAUCAGAUUAUGUGUGGGGUGUCACAUUAAGCGCUCACUAUUAGUUAAUAAACAGCCUUUGGCUACCAGCCAAACGAAUUGUCUUACACAUUGAGGUCCAUGGAUUUUCCAAAUACACUUCCACUUAUCAUCUGUUAGUUUCCAAGAGUCACACAUAACCCUAUCAUAUGCCAUUGCCAUCGAACAAUUGCCAUUGGUCUGGUCAUGCCACAAACAUAAAUCAGGGUUGGCACCCUUAGAGGGAGGUGUCAUAGUGGCAAUUUUGAUAGUUGUUUGAUAGUUGAUUUAAGGAACAAAACAACUCCAAUUCCAACCACCUCUCGAGGCCACAUAAUUAGCCACACAACUAGAAUUCUUCAUUUCAAAAGGAAUUGCGAAAUGGCUUACCAAAGGUCCCAUACCUGACACCUAGCUGUUUUCCCAAAACUUAAAUACUCGACCAUCCCCUUACAACCUAAUGAAUACUAUCACGUAGCACACCCCAAAAUUUGGACUAAGACAUCUAAACAAAAGAAGGAAAGGAUUUGGUCACAAACGCUGGACAACCAAAUUUAAGUUUAUACUUACUCCUUAACAUUUGAACUAAUAAAGCAUCCAUGUUAGAAAUAAGUUGAAAACCAAGCCCAAAUAAGAAAAAAAAACUUAAAAAUCACCCUUUUUUAAUAACAAUAGAUAUUAGUCUAUAAAUGUUGUCUUUUUAUUUUUAUUUUACUAGAAUUGUGACCCUCUAUGUCGAGGUUUUAAAAUUUCUUUAAUUAAUAUAUAAAAUAUUUUUAAAAUAUUUUUUAAUAAAUUAUAAUUACUUGGUGUUAGUCUCUUUAUUAUGCCAAAAUUUUGGAUUAAGCCCCUACACUUUACUUUUGACAUAAUUUGAUCCCUUUAAUUUUAUAAUACCAUUAGUUAUCCUAAAUAACUUACACUUUUAACUGUGCCAAUUAAAAUAACAUUGUGUAUUUUUUUUAAAAUCACCACUUCUAACUAAAUAAUGGCUUAAUCACUUUUCAACUAAUCAUACUGUCAAAAUAGGAUGUCGAUAAUGGUAAGAAAAGAGAGAAACAUAGAACACACAAAUUUUACGUGGAAAGCUUUUUGGGAAAAAAACCAUGGGCAGGGGAGAAGAAAGUUCAAUAUGUCGAAUUCGAAUGAUUACAAGGAGUAUAAACUGCGUCUAUUUAUAGGUUUAGAAAACCUUAUUCUAAUCAACAUCUAAUAGAAGUAAUGCAAUAAGGUUGAAACACCUUAUUCAAAUAAAUAUCAAACAGAGAAAGUAAACUUCUAUACAGAUUCUUCUUGUGCAGCAUAUACCAUAUCGCGGGGGCCUCCGACCCCCGCACCACUGAUUGCAACCCCAGUCCAAUAUCUUGCUUAUUGAGGUUCCACAAUGGGCGGCGGCCCUCGACUUUUGUCCUCGUGGAUCCCCCUAUCUUGCCACCUGUAUUUUAUUUUAAUAAGAAUUUGGGUCACAACUCUAACACAUACUAACAUAGUUUUUUUUGUCAGAAAGAGUAUGUUUAAGGAAAAACCACCUCAACAUUUUACUUGAAAUUAUUAAUUGUUGACACCAUUUUUUUGAUAAAACGGGGUCGACUUGGAUUUUAAAAAUGAAAACGAAUAUGGGAGUUGCCACCAAUCCUUUUUGAUGAGGUGUGAUUGGGCCACCUUGAAAAACGGUUGUUUUUAAUAAAUAAUUUAAUUUUAUUAAAACAAUGAUUUUGGUUCGUGAAAUCCAGAAAAACAGGUUCGGGAAUCGGUUACAUACGAGGAAGGAUUAGCACCCUUGUAACACCCAAAAUUGGUACCUAGUUGAUUAAUUAAUGUCUUAGUGUUGAAGAUUGAAAACUUUAAAGAGAUUUUAAAUACGACCCUUUAUUGAAAUGUUUGAAAAUUUUCGAGAAAAUGGCAUAUUUCACGUUAAUCGAGAAAGAGACUUAUAUCCAGUAAGUCAGGACACAAUGUCUUGAAUUCUCAAUGCGCGAAUGAAUGCCAAAAUUUACUUAUUUAAAAUGAUAUUUAAUUAUCUCAAGCUUAGAAAAGGGAUCAUGUCCAGUAAGUUAGGACACGAUCUUUUCUUAAUUCCCGAUAUCGUUUAAAAACUUGAGGAAGAAAAAGGGAUCAUGCCCAGUAAGUUAGGACACGAUCUCUUCUUAAUUCCCGAGAUCAUUUAAAACUUGAGUUUGAAAAGAUUCGUGUAUUUAGAUUUAUUGUGAAAAUCGAAACCCAGUAAGUUAGGGUACAACCUUCUCGAAUCUAAACACGAGAUUUUGCUUAUCCAAAAAUCAUAAUUUAUGUAUUGAAUAAAAUUAAUCUAACACGAAAUGGUAGUAAUGAAACACGGUGUCAAUAUGCGUAAUAAAACAAAAAUGAAUACGAUGAUGUAAAAAUAAUACGAGCAAUAACAACGAAAAUAAGACAAAUAAAAGGACAAAUCAAUAACAUACAAAAUAAUAGGCAUAUAUAUGUGUGUGUGUGUGUGCAUAAAUAUAUAAAUUAUAAGAUAAACAAAAAAUAUAUAUACGUAUGUAUAUAUAUAAAUUAUUUAAAAAAAAUGUGUACGUAUAUUAUAAAAAUGUAUGCAUGCCUAUAUAUAUAUAACAAAAUUUUGGAUUUAAAAAGGUGUAAACGAAUAAAUAAUAAUAAUAAAUGCUAAUACAAAAUUAAUGAUGAUAGUAUUAAUAAUAUUUAAACAAUUAAUUUAGUAGUAAAAUGACUACAAUAAUAGAUUGGGGAUUAAAUUAAAAAUAAACAAAGUUUUAGGGUCGAAAUUAAAAAAGAAGUACAAAAGGACUAAAUCACAACGCGCAUGAAAGGAAAAGGACCGAAAAGCCCUCGCUGAUCAAACGGCAUCGUUCCAGUGAGGCGCGUGUGCAUGGUCUAGGGACCAAAUUAAAACAGAAGAAAAAUUUUAUGGCUAAAAUUGCAAAUAUAUGAAAAAACUACAUUGAAAGCAACUCAAAAGUGGAGGGACUGAUUGCAAAAUAGACCCUUAUGUGAAAACACGCGGAUCCUGCUAGCGGGUCAGGUCGGCUGGAUCGGGUUAGGCCAAAACGACGCCGUUUUGGGCGUUUUGGAGCUGGGUCAAAACGGCGUCAUUUUACACGCCUAUAAAAGUAUAAAAAAUUUCCAAAAACGUAAUUUCCCCUUUUUAGAGAAAAAAAUAGAAAAUGUUCUCACUUCCCUCUUCUUCUCCGGCCAAGGGUCCGGUCAUCGCCAGUCGCGUCGUCCGUAGGUCGUCAGCGCCGGCGCUGCCGUGUGCGGCGGUUGAGAAGCUAAAAAGCUUCCAUUUUUACAUCGAAUCGUCCCUCCAACUCUCCGAACACUCCGACAUCGUCAAAUAGGUAAAAAAAAUCUUUUUUAUUAUUUAAGGCUUCAAAAAUAAAAAUAAAGAAAAGAAAAAAAACAAUCACCUUUAAAAAAACUGACUUCUGCUUUUAUUUUAUUUCUCUUUGUUUUUUUUGUGUUCUUUAAAAAAAAAACCCUUUCGUUACAAUGGUUUAUAAUCAGUUUUUAUACCGAAAUACAAAAUCCUAUCUUUUCCCCCUUGUGCUGUGGUUUGCUUUCUCUUUAUUGUUUGUAGGUAACUGAUGCGGCAAGUGGGCAAGUGGCAGUGUCAAGUGAAGCAGGUGGUGAUGGGACGUACCGACGGUGGCGCCAGAAGGGUCUGAAUACCCUAGGUGCGGCGCUGUAACACUAGGGUUUGACUUGUUCUUUUUUCUGAUUUGAUGGUUUGGGCUGUUAGGGUUUGGGUAGUUGGGGUUGUAUUUGUUGGGCUGGUAGGUUAGUUUGGGGGGUUUAAUUGUUUUGGGUUUUGGGCCCGGGCUAAAAUUAGGCUUGUACAGCUGCCCUUCUUUGUUCAUUGUCAUGUAACAAGAAUAGAGCAAAGACCAAGAAAGGUCAAUUUUACCCAGCCUCGCCGAUUCUGGACCUGUUCUGGUGCUUCUUUUCUCCAAGUAGCUUCAUUCCAGUCCACUGUGUCUUCUUGCGUCGAUCCACUCCACUGCAACUUCAAAAAGAGAUAUGACUUGUGCCUUCAAUCCACUCUGCUGUGACUUUAGGGGGUGUGGUUUGUGGUUUUAGUCUGUUUCAUGGAAAUAAGGUUCAUCAGGGAAGUAAGAUUCGCUAUUGUAGCUUCAAUCUGUUCCACUGCAAUGCCAAACCAGCAAGAUUAGCCGUUGUAGCUUCAAUCUGUGCCAUGGAAGUAAGGUUCGUCAGGGGAGUAAGAUUCACUGUUGUAGCUUCAAUCUGUUCCACUGCAACGUUAGGGAGGUAAGAUUCGCUGUUGUAGCUUCAAUCUUUUUAACUGCAAUGCUGGGGAAGCAAGAUUUGCUGUUGUAGCUUCAAUCUGUUCCACUGUAUUUCCAGGAAAGUAAGAUCCGCUGUUGUAGUUUCAAUCUUUUUAACUGCAAUGUCGGGGAAGCAAGAUUCGUUGUUAUGGCUUCAAUUUGUUCCACUACACCACCAGGAAAGUAAUAUCCGUUGUUGUAGGUUCAAUCUUUUAAAUUGCAAUGUCGGGGAAGUAAGAUUCACCGUUGUUGCUUCAAUCUGUUCCACUACACCACUAGGAAAGUAAGAUCCACUAUUGUAGCUUCAAUCUUUUAACUUGCAAUGUCGGGGAAGCAAGAUUUGCCGUUACAGCUUCAAUCUGUUCCACUACACCGCCUGGGAAGUAAGAUUCGCCGUUGUGGCUUCAAUCUUUUUAAUUGCAAUGUCGGGGAAGCAAGAUUUACUAUUGUAGCUUCAAUAUAUUCUACUGCACUACCAGGAAAGUAAGAUUCACCGUUGUGGCUUCAAUAUUUUUAAUUGCAACAUCAGGGGUAUGAGUAACUCCAUUGAUCAGCUCUCUGGGGAACAUGACCUGUAAAGUCUAUUUUAUGAACCUAUUUAUGCCUACUGAUUAAGAUGUUAUGAUCAGAAUGAAUCAAAUGCUCCGAACUAGGUGUGUAUGAAUGAAUGUAAGAUGAAAAUGAUCCAUUAAUUCUUGAGUUGUUAUUGCUUAUUGUUUAAUAAGACUUUAUUGCCAACGCGUCAGAAUGCUAUCUUGUCCGGUUGGUAAUGCUCAUAUCCUACUUAACCGGCUUGCCCCUACUGUAAUCUUCAAUGUCCGAUCCACUGUAAUUUUCAAAGUUCAAUCCAUUGUAAUCUCUAGGGAUAUAAAAUUUGAACCAUCUUCCUUCCACUGAGUAUAAGAUCUGGCUCUUUCUCAAUCCUCUCCCACUGCAAUUCAGGGAUACAGGAUCUGAAUCUCUUUGGUCUCCUACACCAUUCCCAGGGUGUUGUACCAAAUGUUUUUGCACAAUUGUAGUACUUUCUCUUCUGAGAAACCUUUUCUUAUCACUCGGUGAUCAUUGCUUGUUUGUUCAUUGAAGCUUUGUCGCCAACACAACAUUUUGUCAUUUUGUUCAAUCUAUGUUUGGAUAAUAAAAUCCGAAAGGAUAGUCUUAAUUUAGACUUUUCCUCCUUAGACAUUUCGACCUUUAAACUUAGUGUGUUUCAAACAAUAGUCCUAUUUCAGGCUCCUGUAUUAUUUAGAAGCUUUUAGAGUAAUAUGCAAAACUCCUUUUGCUUGAAUAUUAACAACCCAUUAAUCUUUAUUUCAACGAAAAAUGCUUGAUAAAGAUUAUCACAGUGGACAAGAUGAAAUUUUAUUGAGAGAAAAGCUCUAAACAAAUAAAUUAAUCAGGAUAGUAAAUUUUGCUAAGAUUCAGAAUGAAUAAGAUGAAAAAGAUUAUCACAAUGGACAAGAUGCAAUUUUAUUAAGAGCAAAGCUUGAAAUGAAUAAAUUAUCAAGGAUAGUAAGAAUAAAAGAGGAAUUGAUUAGGAACUCGUAUCUUGAAAAAGAAAGAAGUAUUCCAAGACAGCAAAUUCAAUAUAACUAGUAUGAAGAUUAGGUGCCCCAAAUAUCGCAGCUUGAACUUCUCUAUACUAACUCUUUGAAAGACCAUUCUGAGUUUGACAUGUGUUUGGGAGAUCUACAUGACUUUGUCGAUGCCCCAAGACGUCGCCUACCCUUUCCUAUUGAUUCAGGUAUAACAAGAUCACCACAUGCCCCAAUCUGAUCAAAAUUUGAGCUGCCCUUUUCGGGUUUUCAACUCAAAUCCCCUUUGGUCUCAAGGUGCCCUUUACGGGUUUUCACCUUGGCCUCUUCCCCUUUUUUUUAAAGCGCCCUUUACGGGUUUUCACCUUAGUCUUUUUUAGGACUCAAAAUACCCCUUUACGGGUUUUCACUUUGGUCCCUUUCUCUUUCCUCAAGUGAAGUGUUUCUUGACUGAGUCUGAGUUUACAGGAUUUGGCAGGUUUUUACCAUCCAUCUCACUAAAAAUUAAAGCUCAUUCAGAGAAGUUCUUCUUUACAACACAAGGUUCUUCCUAUUUGGUAUUCAUUUUUCUUUAAAAUCCUUUUGUAUAAGAAGGAUCUUUUUCAACAUCAGGUCCCCCUCGUAAAAUUCUCUAGGAUAAACCUCUUUGUCGUAAGCUCGCAUCAUCUGACCAUGAUUGAUCUCUCUUAACAUUCCUUAAACCAAUGGGCCAGGUGCUGCCCCGACAAAGGUUCUGGCCGACGUUUGAUGAGCAUAGAGGGUAAAUGAUAACUUCUUUAUACCAAUCUUUACCAGUAUCGGUCCCCUUUCCCACGAUCCUUGUUUUAUUUUUCUUUUUGGCUGCCUAUGGCGUUUAAUCUUUGAACAGACUACAAAUUUUUGACGUUGUCAUUUUUUGGCAUUCUUCAUCGGUGUCUGAUCCUUUUUUUUUUGAAAUUAGAAUUUAAUGACUUCGACCUUGUAACAUUGAUAUAUGAAGCUAUUUUCACCCUCUUAGUGAAGUAAUCGAAGACAACAAAGAUGAAUUGAUGCUUGCUAGAAACUUUUGGCGAUAUCAGCUCAAUGACCUCCAUGCCCCACAUAGAGAAAGGUCAUGAAGAGGUAAAGGAGGCACAUAAAUCUUGUCUCCAUAAAUUUGGCACUUAUGACAUUUCUGGGUAUAACUGAUGUAAUCCCCUUCCAUGGUAGACCAGUAGUACCCAUAUCUCAUGAUUUACUUGGCCAUUGCAAAACCAUUAACAUGUGUUCCUUAGACACUAUUAUGGACCUCUUUCCAAGAUUUUCUUAGCCUCAAUAGCGUCCACACAUCUUAGUAGCUCAGGCAUACCUUGAUACGAUUGUACGAAAUCAUCUUCGAAUUCUUAGAAUGACGUUUCACUUUGCUUCGAUGGCGAGACAUGAUCCAAUCUCUUUCUUUUCUCCUAAGAUCAUUGUCCACUGACUUUUGUAAGGUAGGAUUUAUUUUUUCAUCUUGUUCUACCAUCUUCAACAAGUCCGGAGAUAGGCUACAAUCUAUGUCAUCUUCAAAGUAAUGAGAUUCCUUUAAACACAUGUCUCUCUCAAAAGGAAAUUUUGAGUCUGUAGCAGUGUCACUCAUGUCAUUAAUAUCUAGGGACCCAUUGUAGGUACAAAAGAAUAUACAAAGAAUGUAUAAAUUUAUGAAUAAUUGUUUGUAUAGUAUGGCUGUGAAUGAAUAAAUGAAUGAUUUGGAAGAAAAUCCAAAAGAAUGAAAGAAUAAAAAAUGAUUAUUUAUAAAAGAUGAAAGAAUAUUGACUCAAAAAGGAUCACAAAGAAGUAUUAAAAUAAUGACGUUCAGACAUGAGCCUAUUUCACAAAAGAGUUCUUAUUGCCUCUAGGCUAAAAGCAACAAGUGUAUUCUGAAUAUUACUCUGAGCAAGCUCUAAAUACUACAGGGAUUUCUUCUGCAGUCCGAUUAUUCAGAACACUCCCAAUUUAUAAGGGCGAGUAUCUAACAAGGUCCAUUUUUAAUUGCGUCUUCAUAUAUGGCAUUGAUGUGAACGUUUCCCAACAUUUCUUCAUACAUCGCAUUCACCCCAUUAUCAAUAUGAUUGGGUAGCGGAUUUUCUGCAUUAGAUGAGUCAUCAAACUUGACAAUGCCCAUAUUGAUGAAUCUUUCAACUAACUUUUUGAAGGCAGUGCAAUUUUUUUAUAGAAUACCCUGUAAUUCCCGCAUGAUAGUCGCAUUGUGCAUCCGCGUCGUACCAUUUGGGGUACGGUAGUUGUAAAGGCUUCAUGUAGAAAGGGGAGACAACAUGUGCGUCAAAUAAACUCUGAUACAGCUUCCAGUACGACAUUGGGAUUGGUGCAAAUUGGGACUUCUCAAUGUUUUGCUUUGUGCCAAAUUCUUGUCUUAGGGGGAUCUGAUGGCCAGUAGUAACCGUCCUUGGCUGGCUUGCGGUAAUUGGCUUUGAAUAACCCUCGUUAUACUUACUCGCAUUAUUGACCUCAUUUUUUCUUUUUCGGGGCCUUUAAAGUAUUGGUUUGGGAGUUUAACUCACACCCUUUACAUUUGUAACGAUCUUCAAAUUGUUUUGAGAACUCUACUCUCGCCUGUUUUGUUUCCGUUAGAUCAUCAAGGACUACAGGAUUAGUUAGAUUGCCCCUAAGAUUGGAACCUAAGCCUGUCGCGAAAUUCACCGGUGUCGAGGUACUGGUCUGGUAUUGUGGUCGGAUGUUAACAGUUACCCUUUGUGGAUAUGUAUUUGGUUGUGCUUGGAUGUUUAUUGGGGUAAAGCCUGAAAAAUGAGCAGGGUCUUCAUUAUCAUCUCCAAAGUGGACUGUUGGGUUUGUUCCUUUUUCUAACCCUCUAUCCAAUAACUGGGUUAACUGGCUCAUCAGAUUUCUUCGGACUUCUAUCAGUUGAUCCCUCAUAUCUUGUUAAAAUUUGGUCAAUUGCUCUUGCAUCUAUAUUUUCAUUUGCUCUAAUCUCUCCAACCUUUGGUCCAUUCCCUUAGUUUCUGUUCGGGUAGCGCAAGGGUGUUGGUUUGGUAGGUUGGUUUCCAUUGACUCUGAAAUUAUUUUGUUUAAUUAGGGUCUUUUAGUGAAAUUUGAUGCAUGCAAUAAAAUGUAAUGUAGAUGCAUGAAUGUAAAAAGACGUUGAUUCUGAUUCAAUUUCAUUUAGAAAACUUUACUAAAAAACAAAUUUCUUUACAUAAAACGAAUGCAUGUACGACCUUGCCUUCACACUCUAAGAAACAACAUCGAUCCUUUUCUUCACCCGAAUGUUAAAAUGAAUAUCACGAAUGCCACUACUAACUCCUUCUUACUUUAUCCUAGUUGUGAUCCAUCAUCUGCCCAUCCUCGUAAUGCUCAUCAGCUUCUUUAAGGAAGUCGAAAUGUGGGCGACCCUCAAAUAAUUAGCUUGAAUCUUCGGGCCACGAAGUAAAGUCAUGUACUUUUCCAUCACCCUUCUUUUGCUAUGUUUCUUGGGAUAUAUUCGGGCAGCCAUAUUAUCUUUCACUUUAUCAAAAAAUUCGUUUUCCAUGACAAGCUUUCUAAUUUAGUAAUCAAAUUUGAAUCAACACCUUUUUUCUAAGAUGAAAAAUGCAAUGCAAUCAUAACCAAAACAAAGCGAAACGGGUUAGUACAAAGCAGAAGCAGACAAGAAAAAUAGAGUACAUAUUCGGGUAACCACUAAGGGUUUGAAGUGGCUCUAACUAGGGUGGGCUCCUAAGGUCUUCUACACGUGGUUUGGUUCUAAAUCAAAUGUACUAGAACCAGCAGAUUCCUCAAUCCUCACCUAUCACAGGCUCAUAUAGACCGAGUUCAGUUCAGGGGAAUACAUUUCCCUAUGGCCAUGAGGAGAUGAAAAUCUCACGAAGACAUGGGUACAGAUGUAUCCCGGAAGCGAUUCACUAUCCCAUGCGGAGGUGAAAACCUCACGAAGACGUAGUUUCUCACUCCCACUUAAAAGGGUGUGACCAACGGUCAUGCAAUGUAAUGUGUAGAAAGAUACCGAAACUUAAACUAACACAGCAAUUAUAAACUACAAUGAUGAAGAUCAUAAUAAAGAUGGAUAAAAUGUAACGAAUGGAUUGUAUAUUUAAAUUAGCUUUUCAAUCUUUGACAAAAAGAUAAAAAAUAAUCAACUCGUGGCUUGACACUCUUAUUUUGAGUCCCCAGUGGAGUCGCCAAGCUGUUGGCACCAUUUUUUUGAUAAAACAGGGUCGACUUGGAUUUUAAAAAUGAAAACGAAUGAGAGUCACCACCAAUCCUUUUUGAUGAGGUGUGAUAGGGUCACCUUGAAAAGUAGUUGUUUUUAAUAAACAAUUUAAUUUUAUUAAAACAAAGAUUUUGGUCCGUGAAAUCCAGAAAAAUAGGUUCGAGAGUCGGUUACAUACGAGGAAGGAUUAGCACCCUCGUAACGCCCAAAAUUGGUACCUAGUUGAUUAAUUAAUGUCUUAGUGUCGAAGAUUGAAAACUUUAAAGAGAUUUUAAAUACGAUCCUUUAUUGAAAUGUUUGAAAAUUUUCGAGAAAAUGACAUAUUUCACGUUAAUCGAGAAAGAGACUUAUAUCCAGUAAGUCAGGACACAAUGUCUUGAAUUCCUAAUGCACGAGUGAAUACCAAAAUUUACUUAUUUAAAAUGAUAUUUAAUUAUCUCGAGUUUAGAAAAGGGAUCAUGCCCAGUAAGUUAGGACACGAUCUUUUCUUAAUUCCCGAGAUCGUUUAAAAACUUGAGGAAAAAAAAAGGGAUCAUGCCCAGUAAGUUAGGACACGAUCUCUUCUUAAUUCCCGAGAUCGUUUAAAACUUAAGUUUGAAAAGAUUCGUGUAUUUAGAUUUAUUGUGAAAAUCAAAACCCAGUAAGUUAGGGUACGACCUUCUCGAAUCUAAACACGAGAUUUUGCUUAUCCAAAAAUCAUAAUUUAUGAAUUGAAUAAAAUUAAUCUAACACGAAACGGUAGAAAUGAAACACGGUGUCAAUAUGCGUAAUAAAACAAAAAUGAAUACGAUGAUGUAAAAAUAAUACGAGCAAUAACAACGAAAAUAAGACAAUGAAAAGGACAAAUCAAUAACAUACAAAAUAAUAAGCAUAUAUAUAUGUGUACAUAAAUAUAUAAAUUAUAAGAUAAACAAAAAAAAUAUAAGUAUGUAUAUAUAUAAAUUAUAUAAAAAAAUGUGUACGUAUAUUAUAAAAAUGUAUGCAUGCCUAUAUAUAUAACAAAAUUUUGGAUUUACAAAGGUGUAAACGAAUAAAUAAUAAAUGCUAAUACAAAAUUAAUGAUGAUAGUAUUAAUAAUAUUUAAACAAUUAAUUUAAUAGUAAAAUGACUACAAUAACAGAUUGGGGAUUAAAUUAAAAAUAAACAAAGUUUUAGGGUCGAAAUUAAAAAAAGAAAAGCACAAAAAGGACUAAAUCACAACACGUGUGAAAGGAAAAUGACUGAAAAGGGAAAUAUUCCCUUGCUGAUCAAACGGCGUCGUUCCACUGAGGCGCGUGUGCAUGGUCUAGGGACCAAAUUAAAAUAGAAGAAAAAUUUUGUGGCCAAAAUUGCAAAUAUAUGAAAAAACUACAUUGAAAGCGGCUCAAAAGUGGAGGGACUGAUUGCGAAAUAGACCCUUCCACAAAAACAGGCGGAUCCCACUAGCGGGUCGGGUUGGUUGGAUCGGGUUAGGCCAAAACGACGCCGUUUUAGGCGUUUUGGAGCUGGGCCAAAACGGUGCCGUUUUGCGCGCCUAUAAAAGUAAAAUUUUUUCCAAAAAAUCAUUUCCCCCCUUUCCAGAGAAAAAAAAACCAAAAAUGCUCUCACUUCCCUUUUCUUCUCCGGCCAAGGGUCCGGUCCUCGCCCGUCGCCACCAUGUGCGGCGGUCAGAAAGCUAAAAAGCUUUCAUUUUUACGCCGAAUCGUCCCUCUGACACUCCGAACACUCCAACGUCGUCAAAUAGGUAAAAAAAAUCUUUUUUAUUACUUAAUGCUUCAAAAAUAAAAAUAAAGAAAAGAAAAAAAAACAAUCACCUUUAAAAAAACUGACUUCUGCUUUUAUUUUAUUUCUCUUUGUUUUUUUGUGUUUUUUUUUAAAAAAAACCCCCCAAUUACAAUGGUUUACAAUCGAUUUUUAUACCGAAAUACAAAAUCCUAUCUCUUCCCCCUUGUGCUUUGGUUUGCUUUCUCUUUAUUGUUUGCAGGUAACUAAUGCGGCAAGUGGGCAAGUGGCGAUGUCAGACGAAGCAGGUGGCGAUGGGACGUGCCGACGGUGGCGGCAGAAGGGUCUGAAUACCGUAGGUGCAGCGCUGUAGCACUAGGGUUUGACUUGUUCUUUUUUUUUGAUUUGAUGCUUUGGGCUGUUAGGGUUUGGGUAGUUGGGGUUGUAUUUGUUGGGCUGGUAGGUUAGUUUGGGGGGGGGGUUUAAUUGUUUUGGGUUUUGGGCCUGGGAUAAAAUUGGACUUGUACAUUAAUCAUGUUAAUUAUUUGGACUAACUAAAUCAUUACUUAAUCACCUUCUAACUAAUCAUGCUAACAUACAUAUUUUUGUUGGAAUGAGUAUAUUUAAGGAAAAGUUCACUUUAAUGUUUUAACUGGAAUUAUUAACCAUGUUAAUUAUUUAGAUUAACGAAUUGUAUUAUAAAUGUAGAUGAAAAAUGUUUCAAAUUAAUUUAUAUUGACUAACUCUCAAAUCCAAGUAUAAUAAAAGGGCCAAAGCCACAAUUUGACAUAGUAAAAGUAGAUGAGAAAAUUAUUUAAAUUAAAAUAUAAAGACUAAACCUCAAAUAUAAAUAUAAUAAAAGGAUUAAAUAUAAAUAUAAUAAAUUGAGUCUCACCCUCUAUAAAAGUGGAGCAAAUAAAGUAUCAACAAAGUUUAAUAUACUAAUACUUGGGGUUGGAUUAAGUUUGUGAGUAAAAUAAUCACAUCACUCAUUGGCAAAGCAUGAAUGUGAUUAUGAUAUGGUUUUUUUUCUGAAGUAUAACUAUGUUGGAGUUGAUAGCAUCGGUUAGAAUACAUUUAUAAAUGAUUAUAUAACAUUUAAUCAUGUAUAUAUUUUUGGACAUAUAUUUUCAAUGAUUUAAUAACUUAAAAAUCCCACACAUUAUUAUAUAUGUAAAAUGUAAAUAGAAGCUACAUCAUUAUUUCAUGAAAUAACAUCAUAGAGAAUGUGAUAGCAGAGUUCAUUCUCAGCAAUAUAUGUGAAACUAAUUAGGAAUCAAACUGUCUUCAAUAGUUAGAUGGAGGUGGAGGUAUGAAAGGAAUGGAAGGCAAGCUGCUGCUGGGAAGUGGUGGAAGAAUAGUGAUAAGCUUAGGCUAAGAUGGUGGGAUUGUUGGUAGCUUUGGGAUUCAAGGCAAUAUAGGAGGAAGUGGUGGAAUUGGUACGCUGGGAAGUGGUGGAAGAAUGGGGGUAGGGUUAGGAAGUGGUGGAAUUGGUACUGGUACUCUAGGAAGUGGUGGAAGACUGGGGGUAAGGUUAGGAAGUGGUGGAAUUGGUAAUCUGGGAAGUGGUGGAAUUGGGAAUCCAGGAAGUGGUGGAAGAAUGGGGGGAAGUGGUGGAAUUGGUGGAAUUGGUGGAAUUGGUGGAAUAGUUACUUGCUGAAGAUUUCGAGCUGCUAGGCUAACCUCCAUGCUUGAAAAACCCAACAAAAUGAAACAAGCUAAUAAAAUGAAAACGUUGGAACCUGCCAUUUUUUUUGGAGAGAUGAACUAAAGAUUGAAGAUUUGAGUUGAGGUUUGCAUUGAGGAAAGCAGGAUUGCUUUUCAGGUAUUUAUAGCCACAUUUGAAAGACUUAAUUAAUUAUUUGUUUGAGAUAUUAUUCCCCUACUUAGCAUACUACCUUUUCUCACCCAUCUGUCAUCACCAACAAAAAGAAGAAGAAGAUAAAUUAGACUCAUCCUUAAACUUAAAAAUAUUCUGAAUGAGUCGAUUUGUCUAAUGUUAGUUAAAAAUUAAAUGCUUUUAAAUUUUGUGUGAACUAUAUCUUUCUAUUUCCAUUUACCUAAUGCCAGUUAAAAAAUAAAUAUUUUUUUAUAUAAUGAGUGUAUAUUUGACUUACGUAUGUGGCGCUCUAUUAAAAAAAAAAUUAAAUUAGGUGGAUCAAAUUUAAAUAUUAGAUAACUAUACAUGUUGGUACUUAAACUUGGUAUUUAAGAUUUUUUGUUGUCCAAUUAAAGGUUGAAUUUAAAUUAGAUAGUUGAACUUGAUUUCUUAGUUCAAAUUCCAAGCUUAGAUACCAAAAUGUUUGGUAUAAUAUUAAAUUAAAAAAAUUCAAGAUGUAAAAUACUAAUUUAACAUUUAAACUAGUUGCCCCAUACAGCUACAAUGGUAAUGAUAGAAGAAAAGUAAUUGAAUGGGAUUAGGAGAUGAAGAUCCUAGUAAAGCCACCUCUAGAGGUAUGAGAGUUGCGACCACUCUAUAAUUGAAUGCUACAAAAAUGGUUAUAUCUAGGAAUCUUUCGCCAUUAGCUAAUAAUGGAAAUAGCUAUGUAUCACUUAAAAAACAACAAUUCAUAUUUUCUUGAAAUAUAUUCAAAAAAUUGAAAAAUAUAAAAAAUAUCAUUUUUCUAAAAAUCCAAAAAUUUUAUGUGAAUAUCAACAAAUUCAGAAACUAAAAGAUAUGGAAAGCUUUAAAGUUUUUCCAAAAAGAUAGAAAUUUGCAGAAAAUUAGGUAUUUAAGAUUCCAAUAUUUUUAUUUCCCUUCUUUCCUGAUUGGAGAAAAUAUGAAUUAGGUGACGCCAUCGUUAACAAUUGGGGCAAGGUAAGACACGGUUGGAAACUUCAAGUAGGUGUAAUUUUGGGGAAAUAUUACAUUGUUUAAUAAUGAAUAUUGACAUGAUUUACCCUGAGUUAAAUCAAUUAUAUUUUACUUAUAUUUUCUAUACAAAUUUUAUACAAGCCUAAAUUAAUCAUAUUCAAUCAUAUCAAUCUCAAUAUUUUGAAUAAGAUAAUAAUAUUUUCUUAAAACUAUAACUAUAUAAAGUAUUGUAAAAAUAAUUAUUCAAUUAUACAGCUAUUUUAUUUGUAUAAUUAUAAUUAACAUAACCUUCUCCAUCAUAUAAUUAAAAUUUGUUCAACUUAUAAUUACAACAACUUUCCGUGAAGAAAAGAGAGAGACACAAAUACAAACUAAUGAGAUUAAAUAAAUCUCAAAUAUAAAAUAUUCUUCAAUAAACAUCAUUAAUCAAUCUCAAAAGAAACAAGAAAAGAAAUUCAUAAAUUAAACAAUAAGAAUAUAAUAUAACAAUCCAUUAUUUAAUAAAUUCAAAAAAAAAAAUCACAUUUAUAUUUUAAAUUUUAUUGGUCUAAUUUUAGAUAGGUUUAUAAACUUCAAAUGAUUUAAAAUAUUAGUGUCACGCCCCUAAAUAUAGGAAGGUUCAUUGAAAUGAAUAAAUAAGAAAUGUGUUGACACCAUUUUUUUGAUGAAAACGGGGUUGACUUGGAUUUUGAAAAUGAAAAUUAAAAUGACAGUCGCCACCAAUCCUUUUUGAUAAGGUGUGAUCGGAUCACCUUGAAAAGUGGUUGUUUUUAAUAAACGAUUUAAUUUUAUUAAAACAACGAGUUUGGUCCACGAAAUUCAGAAAAAUGGGUUCGGGAGUCGGUUACGUACGAGGAAGGAUUAGCGCCCUCGUGACGCCCAAAAAUUGGUACCUAGUUGAUUAGUUAAUGUCUUAAUGUCAAAAAUUGUAAACUUUGAAGAAUUUUAAAAAUACGAUCCUUAAUUUUUUUAAAAAGAAAACUUAUAUAAAUCAAGUUACUCGUUAAGACCCUCCCAUUUCAGAAAGAGAAAACGUCACGCCCAAUGCGUUAGGGCACGAUAUUUUACCUCUUCAGAAAUGAGCUUGUCUAAAAACUUACACAAUAAAAUUUUAAAGGGCAUUCAAUUGUUUAAGUCAUGUGAAAAAUUGCAACCCAAUACAUUAGGGCACAAUUUCUCAAAAUAUUAAACAUUGAAUAUUGCAUUUAUUUUGAAAAAUCCUCAUAUCCAAUGCGUUACGGCACAACGUACUGAAUUCUCGAUAAUGAGCUAUUUAUUUAUGUUUUUGUUUUAAAGAGCACCCUCGAUUAUUUAGAUCCAACGAAGAAAAUUGGAACCAAUACGUUAGGGUUCAAUUCUCUCGAAGAUCCCAAAUACCGAGUAUUACUUUUAUUUUGAAAUUUUCCGUUUUUGAUAAAUCCGAGUAAAAAUGGAUGCAAAAUAAUGAUAAUGAUGAUAAUGUAAGUAAAAUAACACGAGCAAAACAAAAUAUAAAUAAAUAAUAAGACUAAUAUAAAUACAAUCGUGCAGGCGCAAUAACAAAUAAGAAACAGAUAAAAACUAAAGCAAGAAAAAUAAUAAUAACAUACAUGUAAAUAAAUAACUGAACAAAAUUAACAAAAUUAAAAAAAAUAUAAAAGAUAUAUUUAUACAUAUAUAUGUAUAAAAUUAUGAAAAUAUUAAAAACAUAUGCAUGUACACAUUUUUGAAGCUAUUAUACAUGAAAAUAUAUGUAAGUAUAUAUGCACAUACAUGAAUACGUAUAGAACCAUCAUCAAAUAUAUAAAAGUAUAUAUAUAUAUAUGUAGGUAUAUAUGAAUCACAAAAUUUAAAGAAUAAUAUAUAUAAGAUAUAUAUUUUGGAAGUAUAAAGAAUAUGUAAGAAUUUAUAUAUACAUACAUUUAUAUAUGAAAAUGAAAUAUAUAGAUAUGUAUGUGGGUAUGUAUAAAUAUUAUAAAAUAUAAAAACAUAUAUGUGUACGCAUAUAUAUAAAAAUAUACAUAUGUAUAUAUACAUAUAUAUUAUGAAAAUAAAGCUAAAAAAAAACUAGUUAGUGUAUUAACAUAAUUGUAACGACUAAAUAAAGGAAAAUAAUAAUAAUAAUAAUAAUAAUAAUAAUAAUAACAUUAAAAUAAUUAACUAAAUAAUAAAAAUUGCUAAAAAAAGAUUAAAUCGAAAUAAAAACGAAAAUACUGGGCAAAUUCGAAAUAAAAAAAACGAAAAGGAUUAAAUUGCUACACGCAUCGAAAGAGGGAGACCAAAACGAUAAAUAAACCAAAGCCCCAAAACGCAGCGCUGCAACGGACUAAAAUGAAACAAAAGGAAAACUAUGUGGCUAAAUUAAAAUAAAAGAAAAUAAUGAAAAAGGGCCAAAUUGCAACUCGUUGCAAAGUCGGAGUGACUACGCGCGCAAAUAUCCCCUUUUAAGAAAACACGCGGAUCCUCCCCCAGGGUCGGGUCACCGAGCGGGUCAGGGCCAAAAUGGCGUCGUUUUGGCACCUGACCCUAAUGACAAAACGGCGCCAUUUCGUUUAGGGUAUUUAAACCUAAUUUUUCCCAAAAAACCUAAUUUCAGCCACCAUUUAAAAAAAAUAAAAAACUUUCUUUUUCUUUCAAAAAUCUGACUUUUGGGGUAAAAUUUUUUACUUUCUCUUGAUAUUUUGCGCGAAUAUGAAUUGUUUUUUUUUAAAAAAAUAUGUAUAAAAAUAAAAAUGAACGGGUAUAAAAAAGAAAAGAGAUGCGAAACUAAAAUCACAUUGGAGUGAAUCUGUUUGUUUUUUUUAAAUCUGUUUUUGUAUUAUUUAAAAGUGUUCUUACAAAAAAUCUAAAAAGGAACCCCCUAAAUUACAGAAAAAUUUGGCUUUUAUAGCCGAUUCUCCCCCCUCAUUCUUUGCUCUGUUGCUUUUCUAUUGCUUGCAGGGACUUGACGCGGUGCAUGUGGGGUGUCGGUGGCAAGUGGGGUGAUGGAACAUCCGACGGUGGCCGUGGCUGCUGGUGAUGCGACUGGUGUGCGGCGGCCAAGAGCUAGGGUUUCAGAAAAGCUGAAACCCUAGUUUGACUGUUGGGGUUGGGAUUUUGGGCCAAUUGGGUUAUUGGGCCUCGAGUUUGGGUUUGUAAUUGGGUUAAUUUAUUUUUUUUGGGUUUUAUGUUUGGGUUUAUUGAAUAUUGGGCUGAGGGUUAGUGGGUUAGGCCUAGGUGGGUUGGUUUGGGUUUUGGGCCCCGGGCUAAAAUUGGGCUUGUACAAAAUGAAUUAGGUUUAAUGGCUAAGUGUUAAAGAAUUCACCUUAGAGACUUAAGUUCGAGUUCCCUUCCUUCCUUUUUAUUUUUGGUAACUUGGUUUUAGGGUAAAGUCACACUCAAAAUAUAUACGACUAGGAAUUAAGAAUAAAUAAGAAAUGGGCAAUAGGUCCAAUGGUUAAGUGUUAAUCCCCUAUCUUAGAGAUCUUAGGUGUAAGUUUCCUUUUUCCCCUCCCAUUUUUCUUUUGGAUUUCGACAAUAAGGGGAAAUUUGCUGUGCCACCCCUAGGGUUUUCAAACCCGAGCUAUUUAAUCAUUCUUUUCCCAUUUGGAUUAGUUUUGCUUCUUUUCAAAUUCUUGUAAAAUUUCUACUCAUAUUAUAUUUCUCUUAUAUUUAUUUUCUUUUCCUUUCUUUUCAUUGUAACACCCUAAACUCGGUCGAAUAGGUUCGACCUAAAUUUGGAGAGCUACAUUAGCCACCGAAGUGACUUUCCAUUAACUCCCAAUCUAACCUCUAACACACCACUUACUUGCAACGUAUAUUAUGAUAAGUUAUAUCAUAACAAGGGUAUAAUAUAAUACAUAUAAUGUAAAUCAUGCAAGCUUAAAACCAAUGUAACACCCCAAACCCGGCUGAGUAGGUUCGACCCAAAUUUGGCGAGUUACAUUAGCCACCGAAGUGACUCUCCAUCAAUUCCCAACCUAACCUCCAACACACCACUUACUUGCAAUGUAUGUUAUGAUAAGUUAUAGCAUAACAGUGAAAUAAUAUCACAUAUAGAAUGUAAAUCAUGCAACCUUAUCAAACAAAAUGAGGGAACGGUUCGCAUGUUAAUUACUACGUAAGGCUACGUAGUAAGGUUAUCGCACCUAAGGGUUCACAAGCAUAUAGGGGGUCACAAACAAACAAAGGUCGCAGAAAAUAACACUUCGCAAAAAAAAUUGGCUCGCGUAUGAUGUUAAUACAUAUUUUGGAAAAAUUGAAAGAAUGCGACAUGGUACUCAUGCUAGGAGAAUUAAAGAAACAUCAAAGUAUAUUCAUGCAGAGAAGAAAUUAGUAAUAAAGGUUUAACUUCAUGGUUCGCAAAAUAUUAAAAGAAUAAACUUAAACUUUAGGGAAAUCGUUUCAUUAACAGAAUCAUAUAAUGAUAAAUCUAAACCUAUAUAAAUAAAACCCCAUCACCUAUUUCCCUAGGUUCGCAUUAUUUGUUCAGAGAUAGCCUCGCUAUUGCCAUUGGCGACUUACUUACCUGCAAAGUAAGAGAAGAGUGGGUGAGUUCAUUGCGAACUCGGUGAAUAAUCCGGAAUCAUCAACGUAUGAUUAAAAUACAGAGUUUAAAAUAGAAAGAAGACUUAGUAUGAAAAACUAUUGUAUCGCGUGUUGGGUUCGCAGUGAAUGCUAGGUUCGCAGUGAAUGUGCGAGACCCAGUUUAUAGAACCUGCUUGUCAUAAAAUCAUAUAAGUUUGAAAAUAGUUUUGCAUGUACUUACUGAAAAUCAUACUUAAAAACUUAGCUUGUUCUUGUUUGAAAAUGGAUCUUUUAUAGAAUGAAACAUGCUCACAUACUUAUCUUAUCGGAAUGGCUGAGGAAUAUAAAAUAUGUUCUUGCACUUUUCUUAACUUACUUAUAUUAUCUUGUCUUAUUUUGUUGGAUAUGUGGAUCUCUUUAUAACGCCUCAGAAUGACUCAAAGAGUCCUUAAGAUGUCCCAUAAGUGUAACAUAAGCUAAACACUCUCUUGUACACCAACAUGUCCUAUUGAAUGGAGCAUAGCUUGGCGUUCCCUUAUCUCUCCACAUGUCCCAAAGCCUCAAUGCCCAAAUCACAAAACUUAUUGGUGAGUACUCACAAUCCUUUGGUAUACAAAUAUAUCCAAUAUAUAAGCUCACAAAGGCACUCGUAUAGAAACUUAGCACAUAGAGCUAGAAAAAACAUAGCUUAUAGAACUGUAUUUUUAAAACAUGCUUUAAAACAUAGGCUUGCAUAGGAGCAUGCGUAACACAUAUCUUUAAAACAUAGCUUAAAACAUAUCUUGAAAACAAAUUAUCAGAACUUUUAAAAACAUAGUUUUAUAGGAAAAAAAACUUACUCUUGGAACUUAGUUUUUAAAAAAAAAAGAUUCUUAGAAAACAUAACAGUUCACACACAAGUUACGAAACCUGAGCAUUCAUACUAAAAAACAUGAUAGUUACCACACUUAUGGCAAUUCUUAACCACUCAUCGAUAAAACUGAAAAUUUAAAUGAGUUUUGCCUUGCCUUUAUCCUUGCUGUAGAUAGUCUGGUUGGUUCGUAACAUGCAUAAACACACAAAUUACUUCAAUAGACAAAACUUACGAACUUCACACAUGCAAGCGAACCUAGCUUUCUGGACAAUAAACCCUAAUAGGAAAAAUGCUUACCUUGGUUGCUACGAAUUUGGUUCAGAACAAAGACUUGACAACAAAAUAACGAUGAAAGAAUUUUUCCUAGAAUAAGGAUUGUAUUUAUAGGCACUAAGUAUCUUAGUGACCUUAGGAUACCCUAUUUGACUUAGGAACCCUCUACGGUUUAAAAGAAGGUUACGUGCACGAAAAGUAUCCUAGAUACACAAUAUAUUUAUUUCCUAAGUUUAGUCUAACUUGACUUUUGAUUGGCGAACCCCUAGUUUGUAACUCAAUUGUUGAACCCCAGCUCACUAAACAGAUUGGAGAACACAACUUUCAAUGAAUCUAGCGAACCUCUUACCACAUCAUUUGGCGUGCAGCAGUUUGCUAGAACACUGGCAAACUCCUUACUGGUAUCCCCUUUGGUGAACCCUAGUUUGCUGAAACACUAGUGAACCCUCACUUGUAAGGUCAAAACUUCUAGAUCAGGUUUCAGGAUGUUACAAACACCAUAUUUUUAUCAUAAUUGUUGUUGAUUAUUUUUCUUUCCUGAAUCAAAUCAUCUUUCAUUAAAUUAUUUUUCUAUUAGUUUUGUAAUUGUCGUCAAUAGCACCUCUAUAUUUGCCAAGAAACAAACCGAAUUUAGGUGAAUCAGACCGAAAUAAAGUGUGAAGAACAUCAACCGGAACUGUGGUGAAAGGUGUGUGUCUUUUCCAAGUGAAUCAGUGGUGAUCUGUGUACGAUUAAGGCCACAUGGGCUAUGCGUGUGGUCCACCAACUACCACACAACCAUGUGCACUUGUAGAUUUUAGGGACUUCAUGAACCAUACGGCCUCAGCCAGUUACACGAUCGUGUCUUUCCUGCAAGGUUUAUCAUUUUCCACAUGGAAUCAUGCUGUUACAUGACCGUCUAACCCUUACACAGGGUCUUACCCUUCUCACAUGGCCUGGCCAUACAGCCGUGUGACCCUGUUUUACAGUUUUGACCAAAAAUUUAUCAUAUGUUCAAUUUAGUCCUCGUUUAUCCCUUGAAUUAUUUUAGAGUUUUCAUUCACUCAAUUAAGUCCUUGAUAUUGUGUUUAUUCUAGAAUCUGUGAUUUAAUGACUAAAUUCCUAUUUUUAUAUUGUAUGAGAUGUGAAUAUUACAUGCCUACUGUCAUUGUAAUACUGAUAAACUAUUAAUGAUAAUAUUGUUACCACCCUAUUGAGUACAUGUUAAGCAUGUCUACUGCUAAUGUUGAACUGAAUACAUGAUAAGCAUGUCUAUUAUUAUUAUUUUUUGUAUUGUUCUAUUACAAAGCAUGCCAUAUUGCAUUGCAUGGGGUGGGACGAUAUGUAUGGAGAAAGGGUGACAGUUUAAUAAUCUGCAACCCAGUGGUGGCUCGUCCACAAACCCAAUGGCAGUUUAUCUGCAAAUGUUUUAACUAAAAAUACUGGUUGUUUAUCCGCAAUUUUUACAACGAAGUGGUAGUUUAUAUACAAAUCAGUGGUGAUUUAUCCACAACUCGGUGUGUAUGGAUGGAUGAGUUCUGGGGAACUCAUAGUGUGGUGUGUAGUGAAGUUGGGUAGGACCUUUUCUGAUAAACUGAAAUUGCAUUGCCAUUCAUAAACAUGUGCAUACAAACCAUGAAUUCUAAAUAUUAUAGUGAAGUGUUGAAUUGGAAAACCGAUAUUGUGAAUUGCUAUACGAUUGUGGUUAUUCUAAGAAUUGUUAUUUCGUAUGCUUUGACCACUAUGUUACACCGAUUUUCUUGUGAUAUGACUCACAUUGAGCUUAAGUUCACCCCCUUUUAAUUUCCAUCUUUAUAGAUAACCCACCAGGUUAGGACAUAGACACAACAUCUGGAAGGUCUUGGCUCAGAUAAAUUUUUUUAUUAAAAGUAUUUUAGACUUAUUAUUAUUUCUAUUAUUUGGAAUUGUAUUGUUUUAUUCAAACUUUGGCACGAGACUUAAGUUUUGAGUUUAUUUGACAUGCAUGAAAUUUAAUUUGAAUAUUAGGAUAUUGAAACAUGGAUUUUAAACUAAUUAUGCAUGAAAUUUUGGUUUCGCCAUCAUUAAAAAUAUUUUGAAUAUCAUUUUUCCGCUACGAUAUUAUGAAAAUAAGAAUUUGAAAAAAGUAAAUGAAUUGGAAAUCAACUUUUACUAAGUAAACUUUAAAAUCCAUUGUUUUUUGGAAACUUUUAUUUUUUAGUGAAAACAUGAUUACACGCAAAGUUUUUCUUCAAUAAUAAGCAAAUGUUUUAAACAACUGUUUUAUAAAAACUCCGAUAGUUGUAGUAGGCCAUUUCGGUAGCCAAUGCAAUCUUUUGAAUUCAGUCUUAACGUUUAGGCCGAGUUGAGGAAGUUACUAUUAGCAACUUAACAUUAAUUUGAACAUUAAAUGUUGGUCCAAACUUGACACGAAAUAUAUUUAGAAUACAUAAAUCAAAAAAUUAGUAAGUUGGCUACUUGGGUUAAUUUAUUGGUUUGACACAACAUAUCCUAUAGUAAUUCAAUGGGAUUAGAACAUCCCAACUCCUAGUUGAUUUAAUUGCUAGGUUAUCUAAGUCCACGCUUGCAAUUAUUGCUUAAAGCAUUUGUUUAAUAAAAUCUUAAAUUCCAAUGGAGGUGCUUUUUCAUAAUAUGAGGUAACCUAAGAAAAAGGAAAAAGUUGAACAUAUUGUUAAGUUAAAAUUGAACAAAUUAAGGCAAAGUGUACAAAUGGAGUGUCAUCAUUCAAAUCGGUCCUUCUCUUAAUUGUCAUAAGCCAAUUAGGUAAGCCAGAUUCUUUUAAUAAAAAGUAAAGAUUUCAUGGCAUCCCUAAAGCAUUGCAAAUUUUUUGUAAGCAUUAAAAUGGCAUUAGUUGGUACAAUACUGGUAUUGAUCUGUAUAUAUUGCUUCGGUUUUGAUCAGUACCAAAUAGUUUAUAUUUCGUUCAAUCAAAAUUUUGUUAUGUUUGAUUAUUUCGGUGUGUUUCGACCUAUUUUGGUCAAUAUCGGCUUGUACUAGCUAGUAUAAAAUUUGAUAUUUUAAACUAAAUUUUAAAAUUUUUUAAUCUUAAUUAUUUUAAUUUUGGCUAAAGGGUCUUCAAAGCCCUUGAACAUUAAAAUUUCAAUCAAUUAAGCCCAUCACACAUUAAAGUUAACGAUCAACCAUGAAAGAGCAACAAUAGCCAUUAUGAGCAAUUGUUUUCACCACGUGGCAUGUUAGACUGUACCACGUGACGAAAUAUGGUGUUUUAAAUUUAAAACCAUUAAAACUAUAGAAAAUCAUAAAAUAUUAAAAAAUUACAAAAGUUAUAAAAUUAUAUAAAAAUGAACAAAAUUAUAAAAAGUAGUAUAAAUGAUACAAAAAUUAUAUAAAUUAUUAAAAAAUUGCAAAAAGAAAACAUUAAAAAUAAGCUUAAAAUAAGAAUAUAUAAAAAAAUGUAAAAAAAAAAAAUUAGAAACUAAGUUUCGGAUACACAGCUCUGGCUGUAUUUUUCAUAAAUAAAAGCUUGGUUGAGAUUUUAGAUUUGGUAUAAAUACAAUAAAUAUAAUAUUUAUAGUAGUAAACAAGUGAAUGAAAUUAAGUAAUUGUGAUUGAGAUUCACCAUGAUUAUAUUUAUAGGAAUAAAAUAUUCCUAUAUAUAAUGAAAGUGUAAUUGAAUAAUAAAAUUCAUAUUAAUACAAGUUGCUUUAAAACAAAAGUAAAUAAUUUGAUAUUGAUCUUGUGAAACAAUUGAAUUUUGGUUUUGUUAUGGGAUUAAAUUAGCAAUUAAUCCUUUUUAAGAAUUUAGAGAACGAAUUAGAUAAGUUAGACAUAAAAGUAGAAGAGUAAAAAGAAAGGAAGUAGUGGGUAGAUUAACAUAAUUAGGAGUUUAAAUGAUAUGAUAAUAAUUAAAGCUUUAAUUUAGUUAAGGUAAUUAGAAAUGUUUGAUCAUAUUUUAGAUGUUAAUUGAAAUUAAACGAGUUAAUAGGUCGAAUACAAGUUUAUAUUUUAGUUAAGAUAAUUAAGAGUUUAACUAGAAUUAAAAAAAAAUAAGAAGCACAUUGAAUCGUCGAUGAAUUGAUUUGAUUCUAAAUCCAAACUCAAGAGAGUAGGAACAUAAUCCAUUGGAAACAACACUUUUAAGUUGUUUAAAUUUUUGAGAAAGAAAAACACUUUCAACCUUUUUUUUAAUCCCCACUCUAUCCACCAACCUACUCGUUGCUUUAUAAGUCAAAAUCGGGAAAUUAAAUAUUACACUAUUACUAAUUCGGUUAAAUUGGUUAAUUCGGUCAAAUGAAUAUUAUCGAUUUUUUGAUAUGUUUUUUUACUUGUUUUAACCAAAAAAAUAAAACAUAUAAAUUUCGGUUAAUUUGAUUAACCGGCCGAAUUAAUCGAAAUAUUUCGAUUUGGUUAAUGGUUAAAGAUACUAAUUCGAUUCGGUUAACUGAUCGGUUAAUUGUUUGAGCACCCCUAAAAAUAAGUCAUGGGACCAACAUACUGACUUCCAUACAAUUGUUAGGUAUAUAUAGCAACUCAUAAGUAUGAGUAGAAUUAGUACGCAGUACCUUAGAUUCAUUGAGCCACAUUUCAAAGUUUCCCAUGAUCUCUUUUGCUGUCAAUGAUAUAAUAAACUUUUUGUAUUCACAAUUAUGUUCACAAUAUAAAACAUAAUUGGUCGACUUGAAUACAAUUAAAUGAGACACUCUAAUGUUCUUUCCUUUUCCUCAAAUCUCUCUAUUUCAAUUCAACUACUCUCUAGAUAUGUCCCGUUAGAUUGAAUCAUACAUGAUCAUCGAUAGCCUACUAAAAUAGCUAAUAUUGAUGUAAAACUUCAAGAAACAGUUAAAGGUCAUGAGGGUACUUAGUAUAGAUCUUCAGUUGAUCUCAUGGGUUUCACACAACAUAGAAGCAGAGAUCAAAUCUUCUAUUACCCAUUUUGUUCGUAUAAUACACAUGUAGUAUGAAACACAUGCUAUGGUAUUACUCUCACUUUCCUUGAAGUGUAUGUCUUUAUCAAAAAAUCAAUACCACAUAGGUGAUAAUUCAAAUACACUUAGUAUCUAACUCGAGUCCACAACUUUAUUUUCUUAAUAGAUUCAACAACAAGACUUUCACCUGGAAUAAAAGACAUAUAAAGUGAAAAAUUCAUAUUUAAAUUAUCAAACAUAAAUCAAAUUGAUUAUAAUUAUAUCAUUUUGCAUAUAGCUCAUGUCGUGCAAGUGCACACUUUAGCCCCAACAAGUUUGGACCUAUGCCCUUCAUGCAUGCAAGGCAAGAUUCCAAACAUAAUCAUUCAAUCAUCAUUUAUGUGGGUUCUCAUAUAUAUACACAUCUCACACUUGGUAUUUAACCAAUGUGGGAUCUAAGCUUUUCUUUUCCUCAACAAAUAUUCACAAGUAGCUUACUUUGAGCACCAAUUUCUCAUUCAUCACUCAACCAUUUUGAGCAUAUGAUAUACUGUUGUAAAGGUCUCAUGGAGUAGAAUAUAAAAUCAUAAUUUUAUGAUUCAACUCUCAACAUUUACCAAUUAAAAAUAUGCCUCAAAGUUCCCAUAAAUUACAAAUUUUCCAACAACUUUUGAAUGCAUUAAUCAUUAUCAACAUUAACUCAAGUGAGGACAAGAAUAUAUUAUUCAACUUGCAAUCCUAGAGUUUUGACAUUCCUUUAAAAAAUCUCUAGGAAUCGGUUUUGUAAACUGAUUUGCAAUCCUCUUAUGCAUAGACUUUCUCUCUUGUUGUGAGAUUUACCUUCACACUUAUUUUUUCCAAUAUACUAACUUUAGAUAUUUGGAGUUUGGAGUUGGUCAAACAGAUGUAAAAGCUACCUUUUCCAAAUGAAAAUCUGGAAUUUACACAGACAAAGUAGAUUUCAUUGACAAAGGUGAAAUGCAUAGUCUGGGCAAGUUAUGAAGAUCAAUUUUAUGAUCUUAAGCGAUUUUCCAGAUAGUGAUAUGCUAUUUUUUUUAAUUAAGAAACUGUUUAGUUUGAUUUAAUCAUAAUUGAUAAAGACCACUUUACUCAUGUUAAAAGAAGGAAAGAAAAUUUUGUAACUAUGUCAUUUUAUGUGGGUGACAUGUUGUUGGCCGCAAAUGAAUUAGUGCUUAUCAUUAUGGGUUAUGCAAGACUACAUGUCAAUUCAUACGAAUGUGUCCUUUUUUCAAUGUUGUGAGUAGCAUCAUAUAUGUUAUGAUGUACAUAAAGCAAAGUAUCUCUUGUAUAGUUGGAUUCAAGACACUCCAAUCCAAACUCAUUGCAAAACAAUGAAAAUGAUAUUGAGGUAUUGAAAAGACACUAUGGAUUUUCACCAUGCUAUCUAAUUGUGAAUACAAAUACCUAUUAAUUAAAAGGAGAUUUAGAUGAAAUAUUGAAAUCUAUCUCCACACAUGUGUUCGUAUUUGAUAAUGGAGUGAACUCUUAAAGUAGUAAGAAAUAAACUUGUAUAGCAUGGUCUAUUAUUGAUGCUGAAAUUGGCAUUUUUAGCGAUGGUUCAAGAGAGUGUUUGGGUUAAAAUAAUCACGAUUAAUAUAGUUACGUUAAAGCAAAAUAUCUUCUAUAGUUGGAUUCAACAUAGUCCAAUCCAAACUUAUUGCAAAACAAUGAAAAUGAUUUUGAGGUCUUUUAUUGUUCUCUCUUGUAUAGUUUGCAUCUCAAGGCACUUUCUUGUUGAUUACGAUGAACAAAAAACGGUUGCAAGCUCUGGGACGAGCAAGAUCAAUAUCUUUAGAGAUCAAAUGAUGGUUAGUAUACAAAUUUAAAAACUAGUUUUUAUAAUUUCAUUUUCAUAUAGUUUUUAUUUAUUUUUUAUUAUAAAUUUUAUGCUUUUUAUAAUAUUUUAUAUGUUUUAGUAUUUUUACAAUAUUUUAAUAACUUUCUAUCUUUUUAAAUAUUUAUUACCAUUUUUAUUUUUAAUUCAAAUAAUUUAUUUUUUUCCAAUUUUCUAUAUUUUAUAAUAUUUUUAAUAAUAUUUUAUAUAUUUAAAUAUUUUUUCAUAAUUUUAAUUUUUUUAAAUUUUUCAUAAUUUAUAUGUUUUUUUAAUUUUUAUUUUAGUACUUUUUAAUGCUUUUCACAAUUUUUAAUAAUUUUUAUAAUUUAUAUUUUUUUUUCGUUUAUAAUCAUUUUUAUAAUUUAUAUAUAUAUCUGCAAUUUUAUAUAUUUUAUAAUUUUUGCAAUUUUUAUAUUUUAUAAAAUAAUUUUGUAAUACUCCAAACUCGGCCUUAACGUUAUGACCAAAUCUAGAGAUGCUAUGAAGAUACAUUAAAAAAAAUCUAGAAUCUGUUGAUUUUAUAAAAUGAUACUUGCCCUUAUUUAGUAAAAUCUGAGUUUAUUUGAGAAAUUUAUCGUUUUGAUGGGUUUGUCAAUUAUUUACUCAUAAAACUAGUCGAAUCCAAUUUGAAAACACGAUUUUUUUUGUUGUUGUAAAAUCCAUUAUUCAACAAUUCAAUUUUCAACCCACCAACGAGGAAAUCACACAGGACUUCCUGCUAACCUACCAUCUUUUUUCAAGAGUUCAAACCCAAUCCAACACCACCAACUCGACAGCACAUUAAGGGCUAACAAAAAUAAAUUAGAGACUCAAACGAUAAAUUAACAUCUUAUCGUUGAACUAGUAAACUCAUUCUAUCACAAAUUGAUCAAAAAUAGUAUUUAAGUGGUAAGGAACAAGAUAAGGAUAAAAGACAAAAAUAAUAAAAUUUCUUAAAAAUGAGAUUUGAACCCUAAUCAGUAAAACAAAUACUUAUUCAUGACAUAAAUUAACAAAUUAAAAAUUCAUAUUUUUGGGUCUUAAAAGUUUUUAAUAAAUUAUAAUUACUUGAUUCCAGUUUCUUUAUUAUGCCCAAAUUUAAGAUUAAGCCCUAUAUUUUAAUUUUGACAUAAUUUGAUUUAUUUAUUUUUAUAAUGUCAUUAGUUAUCUUAAAUCGCUAACAUUAUUAGCUAUGCCAAGUAAAAUAACAUCGCGUAUUUUUUUUCUUAAAAUCAUCACUUCUAACUAAAUAAUGGCUUAAUCACUUUUUUAACUAAUUAUACUAACAUAGAUUUUUUUUAGUUGGAACGAGUAUGUUUAAGGAAAAAUCACCUCAACACUUUACUUGAAAUUAGUAAUCACAUUAAUUAUUUGGACUAACUAAAUCAUUACUGAAUCACCUUCUAACUAAUUAUAGUAAUGUAUAUAUUUAAGAAAAAGCUCACUUUAAUGUUUUAACUGAAAUUAUUAACCGUGUUAAUUACUUAAACUAACUAAUGAAAAAUAUUUCAAAUUAAUUUAUACUGAAUAACUCUCAAAUCCAAGUAUAAUAAAAUAAUAUGACUAACUCAAACUUGGCGUUGAAUUGAGUUUGGGAGUAAAAUAAUCACAUCACUCAUUGGCAAAGCAUGACUGUGAUUAUGAUAUGGUUUUUCGAAGUAUAACUAUGGUGGAGUUGAUAGCAUUGAUUAGAAUACCUUUAUAAAUGAAUAUAUAACAUUUAAUCAUGUAUAUAUUUUUAAUAAUUUAAUAACUUAAAAAAACACCACACUUUAUUAUAUAUGUAAAAUGUAAAUAGAAGCUACAUUCUUAUUUCAUGAAAUAACAUCAUAGAGAAUGUGAUGGCAGAGUUCAUUCUCAGUAAUAUAUGUGAUACUAAUUAGGAAUCAAACUGUCUUCAAUGGCUGGAUGGAGGUGGAGGUGGAGGUGGAGACAUGAAAGGAAUGGAAGGCAAGCUGCUACUGGGAAGUGGUGGAAGAACAGUGAUAGGCUUAGGCUAAGAUGGUGGGAUUGUUGGUAGCUUCGGGAUUCAAGGCAAUGGAGGUAUGCAGGGUUGAGCUGAGAAUGAUGGUAGAUCUAGGAUUGAAGGCAAUGGAAGUAUGUUGGGCAACUUACGAAGUGGUGGUAGUUCUAAGUUCUGGGAUUGAAGGAAAUGGUGGUGGUUCUGGGAUUAAAGGAAGUGGUGACAUCGGAGGUGGCAAUGGUACCGGUAAAUAUGCAGAUGGCAAUGGUACUGGUAAAAAUGGAGGUGGCAAUGGUAUUGGCGACAAUGGAGGUAGCAAUGGUACUGGUGACAAUGGUAUUGGCGACAAUGGAGGUGGCAAUGGUAUUGGUGGAAAUGGAGGUGGCACUUGCUGAAGAUUUCGGGUUGCUAGGCUAACCUCCAUGCUUGAAAAACCCAAGGAAAUGAAGCAGGCUAAUAAAAUGAAAACGUUGGAAGCUGCCAUUUUUUUUUGGAGAGAUGAACUAAAGAUUGAAGAUUUGAGUUGAGGAAAGCAGGAUUGGUUUCGGGUAUUUAUAGCCACAUUUGAAGGAGUUUUUUAAUUAUUUGUUUGAGAUAUUACUCCCCUACUUAGCUUACUACCUUC